rnacentral:lncRNA from 1 species
AUUACUGACAGAUUUUUUUGGCCCUCGAAGUUCAGUUCCGUGCAUGACAUUACUUGAUAAUUUUACAUUACAAAAUUUAAAUAAUCAUUCCUGGCUUUGUGUCUGUUGAGUGGCAACUGUGACUGUUAAAUACUUGAACUUGGGUGUCCAUCAAUAAUUCAAUAUGGAAAAUUCAGAGGUUUAUCACACUUCUCAUUUCUGUAAUCUCUCUUUUGUGACAUAAGCCUGCAAUGUGCAUAACAACCAUCCUUCUUUAGAAAUCGAUGAUAUACAUUAAUUGUGAAGUACUGGUUCAAAAAACUCUGGUCCCUGCGUACGAUUUAGCACAUACCUCUUUAUUCCAGUUUGCGACACAUUGCGUCCAGAUUAAUAGGCAGGACUGUAGGCAUAAACCUAGCAACAUUCCAUACCAAAACUCAUUCGUUUGGCUUUUUUUUUUUUUUUGAUGGUUGGGAUGCGCAUUUAGGUUUCGAUGGAGGCAGCAAUAUCGGCGGGAAUACCCAGAAGCUUUCUUGAAAAAAUCUGAUUCCAGGUAAUAAAUUUUGCUUUUCUUCUUCUUUUUGUUGAUAUAUUUCUGAUUUUACAAAGAGUCUGUCAUUACUAGUUCUCUAUUAGCAAAUUCACUUUGUAAAUGAUUUGUAGAAUAAGCUAGAUGUUUACAUGUCUGUUGUAGCAUCUAAGGUUCUAAAACCGAAGUUUUUCUUAAGUUGCAAUAAAUAUUUGUCAGUGACUGUAUAUGCUCUGAGAAUGCAUUUGGUAUGGUUGAUAAUUGAUAGUGCAGUUCAUUUCACUGUUCUCCUUUUUAAGAAUUCUGUAGAAUUCUCUUUGUUAAAGAAGUCCAGCAAUAACUGUGCAUUUGAUUGGGCUUUUGAUGGUGAUGCCCAAGUUUAUCUCUCUCUCACUCGCUCGCUCGCUCACACACACAAAAAAAAAGGCCAUACAUCUCAAAUAGGCAAAUAUAGAAGCAUCUUCUGAUUUUUUUUAUGCAUUCACAUUUAUUUAUUUACUGCAAAUAUGGCUAUCAACCAAUGGUAUAGCAACAAAACCAUGCAUGCAAAAUUAUCUUUCUUUUAAAUGUUUAUAUUGUUGAUUAGGACGUGUUCUUUAGUCUUUACUAUGUAAUGACCAUAUAAAUUUCCAGGGGAAAAGGUGAUUAUCAAAUUGAGUUUGAACCAGCUCCUCGGAUCACUGAGGCAGACAAAUCUAACAAUAAAAGGUAAUAUAUUGUAUUUUCUGUGAUGUAAUAUGUAAUAGAGGUUAAUUUUCACGGGAAUGAAUUACCAUUGUUGAGAGUUGAGGAUGCCCUUUAUUUGUUUUGACAUAAAUUUAGAUCCUUCCCUCUAUUUGUGGAGUAUUUAACUCUCUCUGUGACUAUUUUCUCUGGUUCCUAGUCACAUAAAAUUACCUUUUUUUAGCUGUAUGAACUCUUAUCUCAGUUUUCACCGUUAAAUAAAUAUUUUAUUUCCUGAUGCCUAAAGAAUAAAAAAGAGAAUAAAGUACGUAUAGCGUUACAAUUGUUUACCUCCUAUUAUAAUCUAUACUAAAAUCAGCUAGCACCUUCCUCGAGGAUAACUAAAAGUUGAGAGGUAAUCCUCGAAGUACUUAUAUUUUCGCUCCAUCUGCUCUGCAAAAGUAGUAGUAUGUGAAUCAAAUUGUCCAAUUGGUAUCAUCUCUCUUUAAUCUGAUUCAGUUCUCUCAGGCAGCUAUAGUAGUAUUUCUAGCUUUUCUCUAGGCAAACUCACCUGUGUUAGUGCAUAUAUUGUUUGCACUAAAUAUGAAAUAUUGUCUCGUAGGUCAUUACAAAGAGCACUAGACCGAAGGUUGUAUCUUCUCCUUUAUGGCCCAACAUUUGGUUCUCCUAGUGGCAAAAGUGUCUGGCAUUUCCCAGAGAAAGUUUAUGCAUCUGAAAAGACUCUGCGCGAGGUGGUUCUUACUUUCAACCUUUUUUUUUUUUUGAUGUUCCCCAAGUUUUUUUCUGUUUUUACUUUUGAAAUUUAUUGAUUCUAAAUUAUUAGAACCAGGAAAUUAUUUCCAUAUAUUUGCAGUGUGCAGAGUCUGCAUUAAAAUCUGUGAUUGGAGAUCUUUCUCACACUUAUUUUGUUGGCAAUGCUCCAAUGGGCCAUAUAGCAAUACAGCCUGCGGAAGCUGACCAGGGUAUAAAUUCUUUCAAGGUAAACAUCUUAAACCUUUUCGUUGGCUCUUAGUAAAUGCGUAUAUGUAUUGUUUCUGUGGACAACAUUCACUUUGUGAAUGCGCCAACUAGAAGAUUUCCCGGCCAUAAAUCCCACCACGUACUUUUGUAUUCUUAACUCUAUUGUUUAACAACUUGCAACUUUUGUCAGCGCUUCUUUUUCAAGUCUCAAGUGAUCGCUACCAACAAGUUUAAUGUUAAAGAGUGCGAAGAUUUUGUCUGGGUCACAAAAGAUGAACUAUUGAAGCAUUUCCCCGGGCAAGCUGAAUUCCUGAACAAAAUGAUCAUCAGCUGAUAUUUCUUGUCCUUUCUAUUAUUUAGAUGCUUGGAAUAAAUUUCAUGAAAAUCUGUUGUCGGCUCAUUGGAUCUGCCCAUGUUUCCCAAAGCACCAUCUUGUAUCCCUGUGAAUCUGAUGAAUUUUGACACUUCAAAGAAAUUGUUCGAAGUUGACUCUACGAUGAUCAGGCUGCGAGUGGUUUGCAAUUGCAUUUAUUUUUACCAAGUCCUAUUAGAGAGCAUUUGAUGGAAAGUAGGGAAUUUUGGUCACCCUACCAUUUUUCCUGCCCCCCUUUCUGAAACCUGUCUGUGGUGUUCUUGUGUUUACAUUUUGUUGAAAAUCUUUAAUUUAUGCACGGCAGAUAGAUACCAUAUAUAUUGUUGAAGAAGUUUUGGUUAUAAUGUAUUUGUUGCAGCUGGUAAUAGCCACCAGAUAGCUUGAUCUAAGGAAUACAAGUUCUGUAGCAAAGGGAUUGAAGGCACCUAUUUUUCUUCUCGUUAUUGACUAGUCGAAGAGCAUGGUUAGCUAAGCUUAAAAGCGAUUAAAGUAAAUUUUGUUUGGAUACAUUAUAUUUUUAUUAUUUAUGAACUUUUAAAGAAGUUACAUUGAUAGUAAAAUAGGGUUACUAACAAAAAAAAAUGUUAUUUAUUCUUUAAUCUUAAUGACUUAGCCAUUGGAGAUGAAUUUUAGUUAUGGACAGAAUUAACAGAAGAUAAUUUUGAACUUAGGCUCUGUUUGAUUGCACGAAAUUUUCCAUGGAACUUGUAAUUCGAAUUUCAACUUCCACUUUUGGUCUGUUUGAUUGACAAAAUUUUUCAGGAAAUUGAUUUUUCAUGAAUUUCUGGGUACAACAUCUUAAUGCGUGAUUUUCCAUCUUUUAUUUUUCUAGGGGUAGGUUGUUUUUGGUUUUUCACCUUUUUUUUUUUUUUCACUUUUUGUUUUUUUUUUAAUUGUUGGCAAUGAGAACAAAUUCUAGAAACAAUUGUAAAAGAAGAUAUUCCUGAAAUUGACAAUUUUCAUGCAAAACAAAGCCAAAUGAACGCUAAAAUAUAGAUGAUUUUUUGAUCUUUUUUUUUUGUUGGCAAUGGAAACAAAUUCUAGGAACAAUGGUAGAAGUGAAUAUCCCUUAAAUUGAAAAUUUUCAUGUAAAAUAAAGUCAAAUGAACACUAAAAAUACUUUUACUUCAAUAUUUUCUACGUGAAAAAUUAUACUAAUCAAACACAAUAAUUUACAAUACUCAAGAAAAUAAUUUCUAGGUAACUCAAGUCCCUGAAGUUUAUUUUCUUUCCACUCAAAUUUUAUUUUCGCAAUCAAGCAGACCCUUAGAUAUUUUAGGCAUCAAUGAAUAUUGAAAAUUGUAACCCUUUUUCUACAUGCAAAAUUUUGAACUAAUAAAUAGAAAUUAACACAAUAUUUUGUAGAUGCUUUAUAUGUUUAUAUUUUUUGGGAAUCAUUAGCAAAUGUUUGGUGACCGGUGACCCUAUCCAUCUGCUCAAAAGGCCUAUAACCCGUUAAUUUUAAUUGCAAUAUAUGAAGGAAAUUACCAAAUAUAGCGCACUUGUAUGUACCCAAUAACCCAAAGGACAUGUAAUCUCAAUACAAAAUUGAAGGCUAGAACAAGAAUACAAAUCUUGCAAUUCAAAAUUGUAGGCGAACUCUUCUUUGGCAUCAUAUUAAUCUUAAAACACGUGCAAGAAAUUUAAUUUCAAUGUUAGAAUCUGAUCAAUCUAACUUCUUUCAAAUUUGUGGUUAUUUUUCUCUCUAUACUUUGUUUAGGUUAGAAAUUGUGAAGUUAUAAUAUCAAAUAUUGUUGGGUAGUAUAUGUUUUAGUUUAAAUUUGUGCAUUGUGGUUUGAAUUUGAGUUUAAAUUUUGGCUUUGUGUCAUUCAUCGACCCCUAACGGUGGCAAUGUUCUUCACGGACUGUAAGGGUCGGUGAGGAACAAUCCUGACAAAUCCUUGCAGUUGGUGAAAAUGGUUCAUCAUUGACCCCCAGUCCGAGAGGACCUUUAUUUCACAGGCAUGCUUAGCUGGCCCUAUGUUUAAUAAUUUGCUUAUUUAAUUACUAAUUCAUUUGUUAUUGUUGAGCGAAUUGCCCGAAUAGUCACUGAACUUUGUAAAAGGUUUCCAAGGAGUCUUUGAACUUUAAAAUUAACUAAAUGGUCACUAAACUUUGCAAAAAGUUUUUCAGAAGUCACUGAAUUUUAAAAAUCACUUAAAUGGUCACUGAAUUUUGUAAAAAAUUUCCUAGAAGUCACUGAACUUUUCAACCCCUAAACCACCUUAGAACCACCAAUUAUGGACCACCAAAAUCCACCCUCCAGCAACCUUGGCCGCUGGACAGACAUACCACUUUGAAGCCCUCACUUCCCUCUUCGUAACCCACCCGAGUUCCGGCCAUAAUGCCAACUGAUUUGGCCGAAAAUUCAAGCCAAAAUGGGCUGACCAAGCACAAAAAUGACUAGAAGUGAACGAGUCACCAGUUUUGGACCACCAAAACUCCACUGUCCGGCCGCCUUGGCCGUUGGACCGACAUCCCACCUUAAAGUCCUCGUUUCCCUCUUCACAACUCACUCAACUUCCAGCCAUAACACCAACCGAUUUGGUAGAAAAUUCAAGCCAAAAUGGGUUGACCAAGCACGAAAAAUGACUGGAAUCUUCAUUUUUUGUUGUUCCAGGCUGCCCAUUUUGGCUUGGAUUUCUGGUCACAUCGGUUGGUGUUAUGACUAGAGCUUGGAUGGGUUGUGAAGAAGGAAACGAGGGUUUCAAGGUGGUAUGUCGGUCCGACGGCCAAGGUGGCCGGAGGGUGGAUUUUGGGGUCCAUAAAUGGUGGCUCUAAGGUGGUUUAGGGGUUGGAAAGUUUAGUGAUUUCUGGAAAACCUUUUGCAAAGUUCAGUGACCAUUUAUGUGAUUUUUAAAAUUCAGUAACUUCUCGGAAACCUUUUGCAAAGUUCAGUGAUUUCUGGGAAACCUUUUGGAAAGUUCAAUGACCAUUUAGAUGAUUUUUAAAGUUCAGUGACCCCUUGAAAAGCUUUUGUAAAGUUCAAUGACCAUUUGGGAGAUAGAAUUAACUGUUGAUAGUAUAGAGUAGAUUGUCAAAGGUGACAUGCGAUUGUAACCUCGAAAAAUCAGAAAAAUGUUGGAUGCUCUAGAUGACAAUCACAAGGAGUAGUUGCGCCAGUCAUACUUCCGAAAAUUCUUUCAUGUAAGUUACAUGCAAUUCUUUGGCCAUAUCAUCGAUUGUAUAUCGUUUUGGCUACUUAAAGAUGACGACAUCAAUGAUUUGUAGUUUAGAUUAAGGAAGGAAAGGUGGUCAGGUUCUCCUUAUUCGAGUUUACCCUCUUUACGGGACUAAACUCUUUAAAUGAAGAAUAAGUUAGACUGAAAAUUUUCAAAUAUGGGCUUACGAGGCAAUUUCGACAGUGACAACUAAAAGAUCAAUAAGAAAGGACCAGUCGAGAGUCUUGAUGGGCAAUGAGAUAAAUUUUACUCUUAGCAACUUCUAUGUUCGAAACAAGAUGUUGUCUAAUUAGACCACGAAUUACGAAUGUCUAUAUAUAUAUACACACACACAACAAAAUCGAUUAAGUGGUUUACAUUUUCACACCAUUAGCUUCUUUCUAUCUCCAGUUUAUUUGUUUCUAAUCAAAACAAUGGCCACCGUCUUCUUCUCCAUUCUUCGAUAAGCCAAUUUAUGAUCUCUACGUAAAUAAUAAUAACUCAGAAUCAAGUUAUCCGAAUUAAGCGAAACCGUAUUCUUCUCUUGAAAUUAAGGGCUGCUAUAUAACUCCUUUCCUUUGCGGAAUAGUUUAAUUAAUGUCAUCGUUUUGAGAUCAAUUUAGGCUCCCUCUUAUGAUCGAUUAAUUUUGAUAGCAUUCAAGACCGAUUAAUUUUGAUAACUCAUUUACACGACUUUUUUCAAAAAAAAAUUACGCUAAUAAUUUACAAAACUAUUUUUCGAUAGGUUGUCAUAUCUACUGAAAAACAAGAAGGAAAAGACUGAAAAAGAAAUAACUUUACACCAAAUAAAAAAUUUAGAUGUAAAAAAAGAUUCAAUUUUCUUUUUAUGAGCAUAGAUGAAACAAAUAGUUCAAUCAGCAAAUAACAUACAAUAGAAGAAUUUGCAAGUUGCAAUGGUCAUCCACUUAGAGAAAGUAAAAACAGAAGUGCAUUAAAAUUGUCCACGUUCUUCAACAUUCAUGUUUCCAUUGAUCUAUAAUAAUGAAAAUGAUAAAUCCUACCAAAUGAUAUGUUAAAAUAAAAAAUACCUUUCAAGUAAUUUUGGACAAUUUUGUUUAUCGUGUGAUUGGCCAUGAAAUCCACAUCCAUAACAAACUCUCUCUUUAUUCACUGCUUUCUCUUUUGAUUUUUUUUUAUUCUUUUUUCACACCCCCUUUUUUUUUGAUCGGUUCUUUUUUUUUUUCACACCCCUUUGCUCUUACUUGUGGUGGUUCAUUGAUGUUUAAGUGCUCUUCAAUGCUUGUUUGCCCCAUGAAUACGUGUUCAGUACCAUUACCGAUGUUAAGGUCCUUUAUUUUACUGUAAAGAUCCUCUAGCCCAUUGAUUAAGAGAUUAACUCCUUCCUUAGUGAGAGAUGCAUCAUCAACCACAGUAGAAGACAAUUGACAUAGUUUAGAAUGCCUUAACAUCAACGAUUGAUUUGGAUUUUCAUCUAUUUCCUCGUCAAUCUUUUCCCAAACUUGGCACUUUUGGUCCACCGUUGGAGAAUAUAUUGAGUUGGUAGUUGCAAUAUUUGUUCGAUUCUAAAAUACGCCAACAUAUGUCUGCAUAGAAUUCCUUCACAUUCAAAUUGUUGACAACGACAAUGUACAAUAUUUGUACACUUAAAAUAAAUAAGUUUUUGAGAUCUUGAAUUAGAAGAUCCAUGAACUCUUUCUACGGUAUAAGUCAGUUGCUUCAUUUUCACAUAAUGUACUUAUAAUGUAUGCUUGACUCUCAAAAAUCUCAUCUUGAAAAGUUUGAAAACCCUUUCUUGUAUAAAUCUUAGACAUUUGUGCCUCCAUUGGUCACACUGAUUUCAAUCGUGGUUUUUCAUUAAUAUUGCAGUGGUCAGCUAUUAACUUUGAUACCUUUGGUGUUCAAUUCCUCUAUUCAAUCAUAUAAUAAAAUCCAUCAAUGACAUUUUCUUUGAAAGUACCUUGUAAGAAAUGAAUGAGAACUUUUCGCUCUUUGACUGCUUGACCUGCAAAAAUAUGUUUAACAAAUGCAGGAACCCGUCGAGCACGCAUCUCGUAUAUUUGGUUAAGCCAAGCAUUAUCUAUCAAUUUAGUAGGCUGCAGCAUAUCUGUCCAACUUGGUUCAAACUCUUCACUAGUCUCAGGAUGUAAAAUAAUGUUCCUCGUCAAAUGGUAGGUCCUGAUAAAUUAUUGUAUUCAGCUUUUCCAAAAACUUAUUUUGAAUAUGCCAUAUACAAUAGUGAUGAAAAGUAUUUGGAAGAACUUCGGCAAUUGCUCUUGUCAUUGCAGGAUCUUGGUUUGUGAUAAACAUUUGGGGUGCACCCUUAGGCAUAGCAUUCAACCAACAAUUAAAUAAUCAAAUGAAUGACCCUAUAGUCUCAUCACUUAAAAAAGCACAUCCAAAUAUUAUUGUUUGGCCAUGAUGAUUGACUCCAGUCAAUGGAGAAAAAAUCAUCGCAUAUCUAUUUGUGUUAUAUGUAGUCUCGAAAAUAAUUACAUCGUUGAAAAAGUUAUAUGCGUGUCUCAAGUAGGAAUCAGCCUAAAAACACCCAAUCAAUCUUUCUUCAUUAUCCCUAUCAUAAUCAAAGUAAAAACUUGGAUUUUUUUUUUCUUUUGUAAUAUAAAAAAUUCAAUCAAUGAGUCAGCAUCAAUUCCCUUAAUUUCUUCUCUCAAAUCUCUUUCAUAGUUUAUGAUAUCCCUCUCAGUACAUCCAAUAUUUUGAGGACCCCCAUAUCCAAUCUCCAUCAAACUUAUUUGUUGACUAGUCGAUACAUUUGCUUUAGAGAAUUGUUUUACUAAGGCUUUUUUCGCAUUUGAAACAUGCCUAUGAGAUCUUAAUAGGUGAACUUUACUAGGUGAUGUGAGUGCAUGAUUAUGAGAUUCCAAAUAUCUACUAACGAUCCAAUUUGGAGAUGAUUUUGAUUUAGUCAUAGUUAAUUUAGCCUUACAACCCAUACUAUUAGACAAUCUAGCACUAUAUCUAGCUUCUCUUGCAUAUUUGUUAUAAAAUUCAUACGCAUCUUUAAUUGUUUCAAACUCUUGCCUGACUUAAGGCUUACGUUCCUCCACAACUUGUGGUGUGAAUGUUUGAAUUGAAGUCUCGUCUUCCGUAGUAAAUAAGAUUAUACGCGUAACCUAAAAAAUAAAAACAUUUAAUUAUUUAUUAUUUCCACGUUAAAUUGAUAUAUUUGUUAGAACAUCUUGAUUAACUAAAUGCAUAAAAUAAUAUAAUCAAAUGUCAAUCCUGCAAAUCUAUGAACAUUUUAAUAAAUUAUUACAAUCACAAGUUACAUGACAUUAGUGAAGAUACCUGGGGAAAAUGUGUCAAGAAAAACCACAUACAAGUGCAAUAAAAAAAAAAGAACUUCCCUCUAGAGUUUCCAUUGCUUUCGUUUUCGUGAAGGGACCGUAGUAAAUGUCAUCCAAACAAACUUAGUUAUCUAGUUUUCUUAUUUCCUUCUUGCAUUGAAUUAACCGUACCGAUGGGAAAUGAGAGGGAGCUUGAAUUUGCACUUCAACUGCCAAUUUUGUAAAGAUAAUAUGAGAAAUGAUUAUGAUUACUUGAAUAAACAUUCAUAAUUGAAAUUAUGAACGAUGGGCAUGCCUGUAUCAAGGAAAGAUUAUGCACCAAAAUAAAUGAAAUAACUGUAGAGUAAGAUAAAUAGAUUCUAAAACGCAUAAACGGAUGAGUCAAUUUUCAUAGUAAUUAACACAAGUUGAACCAAUCUAACCUAACAGUGUCUACAUUCAAACCUCACUGAUGUCUUCGAAAUAAAUUAUAGAAGAUAAGAAGAAGAACUGGAAAUAACCCUGUAUGUAAGAGUAUGUAUGUGUGUGUGUGUGUGUAUAUAUAUAUAUAUAUAUAUAUAUAUAUAUAUAUAUAGAGUGCUAUUCUUGACAUUCUUGAGCGAGUAUAUCUUCAUAUUUUAUAUUUAUAUUUGUUUAUCAAUUCAACGUAUGACUAUUAACACGUGUUGAAGUGUUGAUAUGAGAGCUUGAAGUUCGUACUGUACUUACAGCUUCAAUCAUGGAGAUGGAUUGGGAUAUUCAAGGAUUGUAUUUUUAAUUCUAGAGAAGAUGGUCCAAUCAUCGAUGCGCAUCUUGAUGGAUAUAAGGUAUGCAAAUUUAUAGUUCUAUUUUGUAUUAUACAUGUAAUGAAAUUGUAUUAAUUUUGAUUUUUCUUAUCUAUUUAGGAGUAUUUUCCUAUUGCACAAAUGUCUCCAUCCUGUGCAUAUCACUUCCACAACAAGUGAAGAGAAAUUCACUACAGGUGCUUGUUAAUGAUGCUUGUCUAUUUAUAGUUAUAUUUAGUAUUUUUUGAUGCGACGAAAUUGAAAUAACUUUGUGCUUACUAAUUUUCUUGGUGCAUUGUCAUGUGAUAUGAAGAUCUCCGUCUCUACCUAUAUGUCAAUUUCCUACAUCACAUUGAUCUUCACCUCCUUCACACUCCAUUUGUACUGUCUAAUGAUUUAUUUUAAUGUUUGAGUAGCCAGAUGUGCAUGGUAGGGUAGAGAAUUACGAGUCAUCUGAUAGAGGUUGUGCGGAAUGAAAUAAGAUGUUUAAAGUAGAAGGUAAACACAUCUUGAGUGGGCACGACCCUACCAUCUGAAGAAUGGGACAUAAGAGCUCAGGUAGGAGACAGAUGUUGGGAUAAGAACAAAAUGGAUAGAGUGGUUGGUAGAAGGGAUUGAGGGAUUGGUGAAUAGGACGAAGAAAGUGCUCAAGGGAGUUGAGGGUUUCGCAAAUGAGACGGAAAAGAUGCCCAAGGUAACGAAACAAUGAAAGUGAAAGGUUGAGUUCACAGUGUCGGAGGUGUUGGUUAAGAGAUCGAGAAUAUCAUUACAACACAUGAGUUUUCCAUUUACAAUCAGGACAGAGAUGAGAACAUUCGUGAAUGACAUGUAGGAAAACAAGUCGCUAGUGGAUGAAACCAAUUGUAUAAGUUUUAUUCAAUUACAAUAGCCGACUAUUGAAAUUAAUAACCACAAGGCAAACGAUUUCAAUUUAUCAAAAAAAUUCCGUUUCAUAAUUUUCCAACGAUUGAAAAAAAAUGUUUAACAACACAAAAUCAGAAAUAUAAGUUAACUGCAGGCUAAAACUGUAAACGAUGAAUUUGGAAGCUGCACAUUAUGGAACUACAAACUGCAUGAAUUAAAUAGUAAUAUGAAAAUAAUCCGUAGAAAGAAAACACAAACUGCAGCAGGUUUCAAACCGAGGCCUGUGCGUGCAUAGUUUCCUUAAGACAGUUUCGCCCCUUCACUGUAGGUGCUGGAGGUUCAGUUCGAGCGGCUGUCUCCCAGGAUACAACGAUAAUAAGCAGAAUUCGAGCAGCACGGUCCUACUCCGACAAACUGAUCUAGUAUCCGAACAAUAUCACCACAAGAACAAGACCUUACUGGACAAGGAAUGCAGAAAAGAAGAAACUGUGUAUGCAGGAAUGUAGGUGAGAUUUUCGAGUGUGUUAGAUUGCUGGAGAAUGAACCUUUUUAUAGGCAUACUGCCCAUUAAUAUUGUGACCAUUGGGAGUCCACUGGAGUUACUUCCCAUUAACACUGUGACCAUUGGGAGUCCAUUGGAGUUUUUUCAGUUUAGAAACUCAAAAGUCAUUGGAGAAAGCCAAAAAAAAUUAGCAAAACGUGGGCUCACCGAUGGGACCAUUUUUGUCUUGUUUGGUUCGACAUUUGUGUGCGCAGGUCGCGCUCGUACCCAAGUUCAAGGUCCGAAAACUAUUUCGAUUCGUGAUUUGCACCCCCUGGGCGCGCACGUUGAGAGAACCUCUAUGCUACACAUGAUUACACAUCUCCAAAGUAUAGACAUAUAUAAAGUGGUUUAAGUUUCCUUGGUUUUCCUAUGUGGGAUAAAUGCAUUCUUUCCCACAAAAUCAACUUCCAAUGACCAACUUUGAGCUUCAAUUUCUCAUUCACCCGAACUUCAUUUUUGGUAAAUAAAUACAUGAAAUCGAUGUUCUCGCGGAGGAGAACACAUAUCAACUUUGCUAUUCUACAUUGGACCAACAGGUCCCAUCGAAAAUUGUGCCAAAAAUGAGCCGCUCACUCAAUUUUUUUUCAAGAAUCCCCCACAUGAAUGAAAAUUGGGAGAGACACGAAACGUGAGACACAAGACUAGGUGAUAAAGUUCAGCGGUUGAAUCUUGCAUAGGAUAGGUAGGUGUUACCCUUUGAACCUUCUCUUGUGAAAGCAUAUUUACUUUACUGGUUGACCAGUAGAUGCGAUGUCCUUGAACUGUUCUGCCGUUUGUGUAAACAAUGAUAUACUUCACACAGGAUUCUUCCUAACACAACCCAUCAUUGUUAUGUUCGUUUUGGCCAUGAACAUAUGCCUGGUUCUAUGAGAGUUCUUAAGAAUUGAGCCCCACACAAUUCUCUUAGAAGCGACCCCACUUCUCUCUCACAUAGGUGAUUUCUUAUUACAAGUAACCCGCAUUACUUGGCUCGAUUUACGACGCAUAAGAAUAAUUAAAAGCAUAUUGCUUAACCUUCAACCUUACGGGCAUCACUAUUACAUCAUAGGAAUGGAUAGGAGGUAAUACCCUUACAGUGAUUUUAUCAAGUCUUUACAGUUAGGUUUUCCAAUUGAACCUAGAUCUUGGGAUCUCCAAUCAACUAGGUUGGGUUUUCCUUUGUAAUGACUUAUUCUUUCAAGGGCUUAAGUCACAUUCCUUUCGAUGAUUUUAUAACUAACUCUCUAUUUAACCCUUUGGUUAGCGGAUCCGCAAUGUUAUCUUUUGACCUUAUAUAGUCAAUAGUGAUAACUCUAGUUGAGAGUAGUUGUCUUAUGGUAUUGUGUCUACGACGUAUAUAACUAGAUUUACCAUUAUAUAUGUUACUCUGUGCCCUUCCUAUUGCCAAUUGACUGUCAAAAUAUAUGCAAAUUGCUGGCACAGGUUUUGACCAUCUUGGAAUAUCUUUUAAGAAGUUGCGCAACCAUUCAACCUUUUCACCACAUUUAUCUAGAGUUAUAAACUCAGAUUCCAAAGUAGAUCUGGUUAUAACCGUUUGUUUAGAGGAUUUCCACGAUAUGGCAGCACCACCCAAUGUGAACAGAUAUCCACUGGUGGAUUUUGAGUCUUUUAUAUUAGAUAUCCAAUUAGCAUCACUGUAUCCUUCAAUAACUGUUGGAUAUCUAGUAUAAUGUAGUCCAUAGUCAUGAGUAUAUUUUAAGUACCUUAGUACUCUUACAAUUCCUAUCCAGUGAUCAGCUCCUGGAUUACUCGUGUAUCUACUCAGUUUACUGACUGUGUAGGCUAUAUCUGGUCUAGUACAACUCAUUAAGUACAUUAGACUUCCGAUAACUCUCGAGUAUUCUACUUGAGAGAUACUUUCUCCUUUGUUUUUAGAUAGAUGUUGACUCGUAUCUAUUAGUGUUCUAGCCAAGCCAGUAUCAUCCUUAUGAAAUUUUCCUAAAAUUUUGUCCACAUAAUGUGACUGACUUAGAACAAGUCCAUUUGAUGUUCUUGAGAUUUUUACUCCAAGUAUAACAUCAACUAAACCCAUAUCUUUCAUGUCAAAUCUCGAAUUUAACAUAUUUUUAGUGGAUUCAAUCAUCUUAUUGUCACUACCAACAGUAAGCAUGUCGUCAACGUAAAGACAUAAGAUAACAUAUCCAUCUUUAGUGUCUUUGACGUAAACACAUUUGUCACAUUCAUUGAUUUUAAAUCCACUCUCAAUCAUGACAUUGUCAAAUUUUUCAUGCCAUUGUUUUGGUGUUUGUUUCAAGCCAUAUAGUGACUUCACCAGUUCACAGACUUUCUUUUCCUGUUCUGGUGACGAAAACCCCUCAAAUUGUUCCAUGUAAAUUUCUUCUUCUAAAUCUCCAUUUAGAAAGGCAGUUUUAACAUCUAUUUGAUGUACUUCAAGAUUUCGCAAAGCGGCAAUCGCAAGUAUCAUCCUAAUAGAUGUUAUUCUCGUCACUGGAGAAUAUGUACCAAAGUAAUCAAGGCCUUCCCUUUGUUUGUAGCCUUUAAUUACUAAUCUAGCCUUAUACUUCUCGAUAGUUCCAUUUGAUUUCAUUUUCCUUUUGAAAAUCCAUUUUUAGCUUAGUGGUUUGCUUCCUGGAGGAAGAUCCACUAGCUCCCAUGUAUGAUUUUGUAGUAUGAAAUCUAUUUCACUUUCAAUGGUUUCUUUCCAUUGAGGUCCUUCCGAGGAAUUCAUUACUUCUUGAUAACUUUGAGGUUCACUUUCUAGCAUAUAGGUCAGAAAAUCAGGACCAUAAGAUUUUUCUGUCCUUUCCCGUUUGCUGCGUCUAACCUCAGUCUCCUCUUCUAAUUCUUCGUUCUGACUAUUUUCAGUUAUUGUCUCAUAUGUUCGUUUAGAGGAACUUGCUUCCUCUUUGGAUAUGUAUGGAAAUACUUCUUCAAAGAAUGUAGCAUUCCUUGAUUCCAUUAUCGUGUUUUUGUGUAUGUUUGGAAUUUUUGAAUCAUACACAAGAAAGCGAUACGCACUGCUAUUAUGUGCAUAGCCAAUGAAGACACAGUCUAUAGUUUUCGGGCCCAUCCUUACCUUCUUUGGUGGUGGAACAGCCACUUUAGCAAGACACCCCCACACUCGCAAGUGUUUAUAGGUAGACAUUCUUCCUUUCCAUAACUUAUAAGGGAUCUUUUCCGAUUUUUUUCGGGGCACCUUAUUUAAAAGAUAAUUUGUUGAUAACACAGCUUCCCCCCACAUGUUCUGAGGUAACCCAGAACUUACGAGCAUUGCAUUCAUCAUCUCUUUUAAGGUACGAUUUUUUCGUUCAAUUCAUAUUGUGCACAGAAUUCAGCAAAUGGUGCUUCAUUCUCACCACCUUGAUCACUUCGCAGCACCUUAAUUUUCUUAUUAAGUUGAUUCUCAACUUCAUUCUUAUAGAGAAUAAAUUUCUCUAUAGCUUCAUCCUUACUUUUAAGCAGAUAUACAUAGCAGUAUUUUGUGCUAUCAUCGACAAAAGUAAUAAAAUACUUGUUGCCACCUCUUGUUUGUACAAGUUUUAGGUUACACACGUCAUUGUGAACUAAAUCUAGUGGUUCUGUAUUCCGUUCAAUUGAUUUAAACGAUGACCUUGUCAAUUUUGUUUCAACACAAGUUUCACACUUAUGUUUGGAAUCGUUAUUGAACUUAGGUAUGCGGUUAGAGUUAACUAGUCUUUGUAAAGUAUCAUAGCUAAUGUGUCCUAAUCUACUAUGCCACAAAUUAGAAGACUCAAGCAAAUAAGCAGAAGAACUUGCUUUAUUCAUUUUUGGUUUCACAACCAUUACAUUGAGUUUAAACAUACCGUCGGAAACAUAAUAUUUUUCGACAAACAUUCCAUUUUUUGACAGAAUGACUUUGUCUGACUCAAAAACAAUGUGGAAACCAUGCUUAUUCAAAAGCGACCCGAACACUAAAUUCUUGCGAAUUUUCGACACAUAAAGCACAUUGUUGAGAGUCAGCUUCUUUCCCGAGGUCAUCUUCAGAACCACUUUUCCUUGACCCUUGAUUUCAGAAGUUGCUGAAUUUCUCAUGAACAACUUCUCCCCAUUCUGAACAGCUUCGAACGUAUCAAACAUCUCUUUAUCAGAGCACACAUGCCUUGUAGCAUCAGUGUCAAUCCACCACUCUUUAGGGUUUGAACCCACUAUGUUUACUUUAGAAAUGACUACUGCGAGAUUCAGCUCCGACACAUCUUGUGCCAUAUAGUCAACCACGUUCACUUCUUUCUUCGGUAAUCUACAUUCCGAAGACUUGUGACCCACUUUGUCACAAUUGAAGCAUUUCCCUUGAAAUUUCUUCUUGACAAUUCCACCUUUCGGUCCUUGCUUGGUUAUUUUGCCACCGGAUGGCCCAGACUUGUUUUUGUAGUUCUUACUACUUUGACCAAACUCUACAACAUUGGCUUUGACCACACCAGGAUUGAACCACUUCUUCUCAGAACUCUUGUUGUCUUCUUCGAUUCGAAGUCUAACAACGAGUUCUUCGACAUUCAUUUCCUUUCGUUUGUGUUUCAAAUAGUUCUUGAAAUCUUUCCACGCGGGGGGCAAUUUUUCUAUUAUUGCAGCCACCUGAAAAGUUUCACUCAACAUCAUUCCUUCGGCAUGAAUUUCGUGAAGGAUCACUACGAGUUCUUGCACUUGACUGAUAACAGUUUUGGAGUCCACCAUCUUAUAGUCUAGGAAUUUGCCGACUAUAAACUUUUUAGCAUUGGCAUCCUCAGUUUUGUAUUUUCGAUCCAAGGACUCCCACAAUUCCUUAGCAGUUUUCAUGGUGCUAUACACAUUGUACAACGCAUCUGCUAGGCUGUUCAUGAUAUAAUUUCGGCACAGAAAGUCCGAAUGCUUCCAAGCAUCAAGUGCACUCAAUGCUUGCACAUCUCCCUCGCCCUCAUUAAGCUUUGGAGUAGUUUCAGUCAAGAAUCUCGUAAGAUUCAAGGUGGUCAAGUAAAAAAGCAUUUUUAGUUGCCACCUUUUGAAAUUCAAGCCAUUGAAUUUCUUCGAUUUUUCUCCAUGAUUAAUCGGAACAGUUACAGUUUGGCCAGUUUGGCUCACAACAUGACUUGGCAUUCUAGCCACAGUCUGAGCCACAAAGGAGCUUGACCCUUGAGCCACAUUAGAACCCACAGCCUGAUUUCCAGCGGGAACAUUUUGGGUCACAUCCAUAUUGUCCGAUUCGGUUCCCGUUUCUGAAAACAAACCAAAUAUUAGUUCCAAGAAACCAAAAUUCAGUUAAACCAAAAACCAACUCUUGUUUUUCGAAUUCACGAACUGUCUUAAGCUUUUAGGAAAACAAGUCCCUAGUGGAUGAAAUCAAUUGUAUAAGUUUUAUUCAAUUACAAUAGCCGAUUAUUGAAAUUAAUAACCACAUUGCAAACGAUUUCAAUUUAUCAAAAAAAUUCCGUUUUAGAAUUUUCCAACGGCUGAAAAAAAUGUUUAGCAACAAAAAAUCAAAAAUAUAAGUUAACUGCGGGCUAAAACUGUAAACGAUGAAUCUAAAAGUUGCACACUAUUGAAUUACAAACUGCAUGAAUUAAAUGCGAAAAUAAUCUGUAGAAAGAAAACACAAACUGCAGCAGGUUUCAAACUGAGACCUGUGCGUGCACAGUUUCCUUAAGACAGUUUCGCCCCCUCGCCGUAGGUGCUGGAGGUUCAGUUCGAGCGGCUAUCUCUCAGGAUACAACGGUAAUAAGUAGAAUCCGAGCACCACGGUCCUAUUCCGGUGAACUAAUCUAGUAUCCGAACAAUAUCACCACAAGAACAAGACCUUACUGGACAAGGAAUGUAGAAAAGAAGAAACUGUGUAUGCAGGAAUGUAGGUGAGAUUUUCGAGUGAGUUAGAUUACUGGAGAAUGAGCCUUUUUAUAGGCAUAUUGCCCAUUAAUAUUGUGACCAUUGAGAGUCCAUUGGAGUUACUUCCUAUUAACACUGUGAUCAUUAGGAGUCCAUUGGAGUUUUUUCAGUUUAGAAACUCAAAAGUCAUUGGAGAAAGCCAAAAAAAAAAAAAAAUGGCAAAACGUGGGCUCACCGAUGGGGCCAUUUUUGCCUUGUUCGGUCUGACAUUCGUAUGAGCAGGUCGCGCCCGGACCCAAGUUCAAGGUCCGAAGGCCAUUUCGGUUCGUGAUUUGCACCUCCCUGCGCGUACACGUGGAGAGAGCCUCUAUGCUACACAUGAUUACACAUCUCCAAAGCAUAGACAUAUAUAAAGUGGUUUAAGUUUCCUUGGUUUUCCUAUGUGGGAUAGAUGUAUUUUUUCCCUCACAAAACCAACUUCCAAUGACCAAAUUUGAUCUUCAAUUUCUCAUUCACCCGAGCUCCAUUUUUGGCAAAUAAAUACAUGAAAUUGAUGUUCUCGCGGAGGAGAACACAUAUCAAUUUUGAUAUUCCACAUUGGACCAACGGGUCCCGUCGAAAAUUGUGCCAAAAGUGAGCCGCUCACUCAAUUUUUUUCCAAGAUGACAUAAUGGUCAAUCUCUUCUAGAGGUAUACUUGGUUAAAGAGACCGAGUUCCUUAAAUGGUACAAUAAGACAUAUAGCCAAGAAGCAACGUUGGCAUUUAAGCUAUAUAGUGAACCAACUUAUAGUUAUUGAUGCAUUUGAUUACUUUAAGUUUUAGCAUUGUACAUCAUUUGGGAAAUGUUUGAACCUAUGAAGUACUAAGAGACAAAGAGUGGCUUGAAGAGGAUGUAAGCACAAUUUUUACAUGAAGUAUGAUUAUAUGCUAUAUAUUGUUAUUUGGUUACCGUUUUCAUAAAUAUAACACGUCGACUUGAUGAUAUAUUUGUUGCAACUUUGGACAUCUAUGUAUCCAGAACAAUUUGACAUUCGAAGAGUUAUUCUAGAUUUUGCAUUCAAAAAUUCAUAGGAAAUCGAGUAGUUGUAUAGAACGUAGAUCUGAAUAAGUUUAUGGUGCCAUAUUAAUUCUUUGAUUACAUGCAAGGGAAGUUUUCAUUGCUAGAAAAGAAAUGGGAGGGCAGUAUGUAUGUGUACAUUCUAGUGUUAGAAAACAUACACUGGCUUAGAACUGAGGUUUAUUUUUCUAAGUCUACUAUAUAUGUGUAUGACUUUGACAAGAGCUGCUUACCUAAAGUCAAAUUAAGAAGCAUGAUAAGAGUAUUUUGCACACUUAUCUAAUCUAGACCAUUAAAUUAGGAUAUUUUGUAUUACUUUUGAUAAAUUAUAGUCUAUCCUCAUGUAUGUAUCGUUUAUUAAGAACAACUCAAUGAUUUGAAGUUAAUUUGGAAGAAAGAAGCAAAAUAUCGAUGAAAAUUGGUGAAAUUCAAAGUUUCGGAAUCAAACUGCAAUUAUCUAAAGGUUGAUUCGGACCACAAACCGAUAAUUGAAGAUUGCUAGGGUCAAUUGGAUGUAAUAAGAAGUCAAAAAGGAAUAAAAUAUAAUCAUAGGAUCUUUACAAGUCAAUUUCAAAUCGCAAAAGGCAUAUUUCGAAUUUUCGACCGAAGUUGAAAACCCACUAUUUGAAUAGUAAACAUUCGAAUUGGAAAUAUUUUAUUUUUAGAAAAAUUGUAUCCCUUUGAGUUAGUUUUUCAAUACAUUUUGAAUCACCUCAAUUGGAUAUCGAGAUAGAAAGUUAUAACCAAAAUACUGACAAUUAGGUAGUGACAUAAACAUGUUCGUGGGAAAGCAACUUUUUUAUUUGAUUUAAAUUCCUUUGGAAGCCAAUUUGGACGCGAAUUUUGAUCUAAUUUCACCAUAAAGAAUGCAAGACAUGGGCAACAAUUGAAGGAUCUCUCCCUCACUUCUUAAAUUACAUCCAUAUCAUAAAAUUAUUCAAGAACGAAGGGCAAAUUUAAUAUAUAUUGAAGGGGAGAACAAGUCUAGCAAGGGAUUGAAUCAAGAAAUAUCAAGAAUUUAAAGAAUCAAAUCUUAGGGUUGAUAAUCAGGAACAAGAAUUGGACCAUGACAUUUCUUUCUUGUAUUUAUAAAUUUCAGGUGAUUUGCUUCCAUUCUUCUUAUUGUUUUAUCAUUAGAAACGUGUUUAGCUAGAUUUCUUCGUAUUGGGUGAAGAUGAACCUUAUUAUUAUUUAUUCUUAAUUCAAUGCCCAAGUAGUUUAGUAAAUUUAUUUUCUUGAUUGAUCUUGUAUGCUUAUUGCAUUAUUUGAUCACCAAUUAAAUAAUUAGUCGGUUGUUGUAGUGUUGGGAGGUGACAUUAGGUUUAGAACACCACAAUUUCAAUAUAACGGGAAUAGAUGUUAGGAAUAACAUGUAUGAUGUAUGCAAUCUUGUUGAUAAUUUUGUGAUUGAACGUGUGUUAUGUAUAUAAUUCGGAUUAGGAAUAUGACAGGAUCGUGUUUAGGAUAGAAUUAACUUAUUUUGGAAAAGAAAGUAGAAUUGGAUUAUCGAUUGCCAUACAUACAAAUCAUGUUAAAUUAUGUAAGUCGAUAAUUGGAAAUAAAAAUAAUAAUAGGUGAAUUGAAAGUCCAACACAUACAUUCCAUAUUUAAUUAGAAACAAUUGUAGAUAAAACUAUAAUCAAAUAAUCUCUUUUGUUAUUUACAUUCGAAUUUGAUAAUAAGUUGAUAAAUUUCACUUUAAAGCUUAUUCUUCGUGGGAAGAUAUUCUUAACUCAUUUAAUCUAUUACUUGUCAACGAUCCCGUUAGCUUGCAUUUGUUCGAACAAGUUUUGGUGUUGUUGUCAAGGAAUAACGUUUUUGAAUUGAAUUUAUUGAUUCUUGAUGGAUUCAAUUUUCUUUUUUUAUAUUUUGUUAAUGUUGACUACCUACCCUGACCUCUCUUGCAUUUGGUACUUUUUAUGUACUAUUCAGUAGUAUAUGUAUAAUUCUAACAAUAGUAAGAGUGUAAAACAGUUAUAAUAAAUAAUCUCAACAUGGAUGAUAAUUAUAUGCUUGUAGAAGAUAUAUUGUGAGCUUUGUUAUGGGAUGCAUUGUAUUGGGCAUUGUUUGUAUACAAGCUCUGACUCCCGUAGGUUAAAGCUUCUAUAGUUUAUAAAAUAUUUAAGAUGUUGAAAACAAGCAAUUGACAAAUUUGAUGAAGAGCACAUGCUUGUGAAAGAUUAUGUAUAUGUCGAUUGGGAUGAUAAUAUCAUACUUGUAGGAGAUGAUCCUCCUCUAUUGAACAAGAUGGUACUUGCAAAAUAUAAUAAUGAAAUUGUCAAGUUGGAAGAUAGCAACAUGUGUGUAGGAGAUGGGAUAUGGUUUGAAUUUAAAAGGUAGGAAAUAAUCCACUUGAAAAGGUUGAAAAUAAAGAAUUGUCAUUGUACUUGGAUUUGGACUAUGAACCGACUAUUCAACCCUGAAGAAAUAUCAACUAUUGAUAACAGCAUAAAGAGAAUGCAAAUUAAUCACAAAGAAACCCAACGGGGAAGUGACAAUUAAUGAAGAAGGAAUUAACACAUUAUUUCAACUUUAUCGAUUGCCCAACAAUUGAAUUUGUAAGCUCUAGGAUGUGGUAGAAGUAUACAUAGUUGAUUUUGAAAUUGAUGAAAUAAGCAAGUCUUAUUAAAUUGAAAUAGACAGUGUAAAGAUUUUGUGAAUUAAUGAAAAGUGGAUCAAAGUCAAAAGAAGCAAAAUAUGCAAUGCAUCACAAGCUUUCUUUAGAAUUUCAUGUUGCAGAUUUUCAAAGUUAAGCUAACGACUAUUAACAAACGCUCAUUGGAAGGUAGCCCAAUUUUCUUCCCUUUUAUUUAUUGUGCUUUCUAGAUAAUAGGUUGGAUAGUUUUUAUUACUUUUAUGUGCUAAUUAGUAGUUUAGAUGUAUUCAUCCCCAUAUUGUCCUAUAGGUUGCAUUUAAGCCUAUUAUAAAUUGUUCCAUAUUAUUAUGAUUGAUUUUUCUUUAUUAUGUAGGAACACGACAAUUGAAAAUGCAAAAACUAACAAUGGACAAGGAAAAUAACAUAGUCAAGUGGAUUAUCUAGCUUUGAUAAUUUCGUUCCAAAUUAGCUUUCAAAAUCAGACAAAAUUAGGGGAGUCUCUUAUUUUCUUCUUGCUCUUUUAUUUUAUUUAAUUAAUAAUAUUUUGAGACAUUGGAGGUAAUGUCUGAUUUAAGUUUAAGGGUAAUAAAAAUAUUGAGGUUUUUAAAUUUCUUUUGUGUGAUUGUAUGAAAUUUUAUUGCCUUAUUAUGUACAAAAAAUAAAAAUAAAAAUAAAAAAUGAAGAAUUUUAAAAAUCUCAUUUUUUUAAUGCUUGCUUGUAUGGGUUAGUUAGCUUUGCCAACACUAAUUACAUAUUAGUUUAUGAAUUAUGAAAGUUACAAGCUUAGAUUAAUUGAUAUUUGUCCUUGUGAAAUUUUAUACUCUUUGAGCAUGUGAAGUAAGUUAUGUUAUUAGGGAAUGAGUUUAUUCAUAAUUGAUAUGUUGAAAGUAGUGAACCUUAGAUGCCAAACCCAAAAAAUCACUAUAAUAUAUAUAUUCUUAAACUAAUUUUAGGAUAGUUUGAGUGAUUGAACUGUCGUAGAAAGAUAUUGAGAUGAAUGACGAUUUCACGUGUGCAAAUUCUUGUAUGGAUUGUCUAAGGCUAAUAAGAUGAAAAUUAUGUGAAAAUCUUAAGUUAAAAGUUGAUUUUUGAGAAUGGAUGUUUAAUAAAAGGUGUUGCACUAAUCAUUGUAUAAAAAAGAAAAGAAAAGAAAAGUUGUCAUAUUACGAAGCUGACCUAUAAAAGAUCCUAAUGAGAACACUUAUUGAAAAAGGGAUUAAGCUACUACAUGAAACAAGUACGUAAACCAAAACUUGAAAAAGUAGGUAUAUGGAACAGAAGAUGCAUUAAAUGUCUUGAUUAAGCCCAAAACACUUAUUUGACAGAAUUAGACGUUUGGUAAGGGAUUAUUGACUUAGUUUAUUGUUAGAGGUUGAAGGAAUCAAAAUAAAGGAGAAUCCCUAUUUGUUGAGAUAUUGACGUGCCAUUAGUGAUAUCUAUCCAAAUUAGAGGGGGUAAGGAUUAGUGUAUAAAUUCAACCUUAGAUUACACAUUGGGAAUAUGAGGUAAAAGAAUGAGUUUGGAGGUGUGUAUCCCAAUAAUGAUGAAAAGAUAUACAUAUAUUCAUUAUGGGUCAAAAAAUGAAGUAACUUAUGAAUUUAUGAUGUUUUACUUAUUUUUUCAUAUAUACACAUCAAUUUUGCAUUGGAUAAAUAGAAAUUGAUUUCUGUACUGUGAUUUUGAAGUUUUUAACAUUUUAAUAUAACGAUUACAAUAAUGAACAAACGAAAAUAUAUCUUACCAUAUUUUAUUGCAUUAUUUGAUUGACUGACCACCAUUAGGUAAUUAGCAUUGCAUGCUUGUUUGUUAAAAUAUAUUAUAGUUUUGUUUGAGGAUAAACAAAUGUUUUGGGAAGUGUUUGAUAAGAGUAUUUUGUACACUUAUCUAAGCCAUUAAAUAUGAUAUUUUAUAUUACUUUUAAUAAAUUAUAGCCUAACCUCAUGUAUGAAUCGUCAGCUAGGAACAAUUUAAUGGUUUGAAGUGAAUUUUGAAUAAAGGAACGAAAUAUUGGUGAAAAUGGAUGAAAUUCAAAAUUUGAGGAUCAAAUUACAAUUAUCUAGAAGUAGAUUCAGACCACAAUUCAAUAAUUGAAAUUUGCUAGGGUCAAUUGAAUGCAAUAAGAAGUCAAAAAUGAAUAAAACAUAAUCAAAUGAUUUUCACAAAUCAAUUUCCAAUCGCACAAAGCAUAUUCUAGAUUUUCAGUCGGAGUUUAAUACCCAUUUUUCGAAUUGUAAACAUUCAAAUUGGAAAAAUUUUCUUUAAAAAAGAAUUGUAACCCUUUGAAUUUGUUUUUUCAAUACAUUUCGAAUCAUCUCAAUCAGAUAUUAGGAAAUAAAGUAAUAAUUAAAAUACGGAUGACUACACGGAGAUAUAAUCAUGUGCGCGCGAAGCAACUUUCCUCAUUUGAUUGAAAUUCCUUUGGAAGUCAAUUUGAACGUGAAUCCUGAUCUAAUUUCACCAUAUAGAGUACAAGACAUGGACAACCAUUGAAGGAUCUCUCUGUCUCUCUCUCUCUCUCAAAUUACAUCCAUGUCAUAAAAUCAUUCAAGGAAGAGGACAAAUUCAAUAUAAGUUGGAGAGGAGAACACAUCUAGCAAGGAAUUGAAUCAAGAAAUAUCAAGACCUUGAAGAAUUAAAUUUUGGUUUUGAUAAUCAAGAAUAAGAAUUGGACCAUGACAUCUCUUUCUUGUAUUUAUAAAUUUAGGGUGAUGUUCUUCUAUUCUUCUUGUUGUUUUAUCAUUAGAAACAUGUUUAGCUAGAUUUUUUUUUCUUUGGAUAAACAUGAACCUUAUUAUUAUUUAUUUUUAAUUUUAGGACCAAAUGGUUUAUUAAUUCAAACAACUACAUACAAUCAUGCAUUCACAUAUCGUAAUAACAUUUGUUGCCAUGAUACUUUUUAAGGCAAUUAUAGACCUUUGAAGAGAAUUUUGGACGGUCAGUAAAAAUCAAUUUCAAUGUUACUUCGUUUCUCUAAGUUUAUCCAAUUUAUCUAAAUUAUAGACAUGGUUCAUUAAAUUUAUAAACAAUAUAUAUAACACAAUAAACUUCAAUUGCUCAGUCGUGUGCUUAUGAGCCAAUGAAACUUGACUCUAGAGUUCUAACGAGUGUGCCUAGGUACGAUGCAUCCAACGCACUUAUGAUUGCAACAAAACUUUCCUGUGGACGGUAUUCUCGUUUUAGAUUUACAUCCAAGCAAUCGUCUAGCUGUCAUCUAACUAGAGGUGACAACAAAUUGCUUGUGCUAAUUUGGUCGAUAACAUCCCAUUCGACUUCAUUUAGCAUGGGAAAUAUAGUUUUUAUAUACGUUGUUCUUCGAAAAUUAGAUGUGUAAUAAAUAGAGCACGACAUUGUACUGGAAAUCCUGUAUACAUUGCAAUGACAAUUGCAUGCGCGCAAGAUAAACUCUCUGACUGAAACUUUCUAUACUUGCAAGACACAACAUAAGUUAGGUCCACUUAUCACGUCAAACUGAAACUGAUCUAGUGGUCUUCGCAUACAACUUCUCCACUUCAGAAUCUUGAGAAGUUUUUCUUUCAUUGCUGGAGUUAGUGUGCAUAAACACGUAUGCUAAUUCACACGUCUAUUAUAAAAUCAUUCCUACAACUUGCUGCAAAUAUACUCCACCAAUGCAAGAAUUGAUAACUCUUGAUCUUUCUUAAAUAAUAAAUUCAUUGAAUUUACAUUGUUUAUUAUCAUAUACUACUAAAUUCCCGUAAAAGAUUGUUCAACCCCUAUGUCGUUUAAAUAUUCUCACGCAUCAUCUGAUUUACUGUAUCUCUCUCCAAUAUAUUUAUUAAAUUCUUCAAAUCUGUAUGUCUAAUUGUCUAUAUCGCUAUCUUUAAGAAUGACAAGAUUUCUACAAUCUGAUACUUAUUCUUCAUGUUGUCUUGUAUAUGGUACAUGAAAUAGACACAAUGAUCAUCGGAAUAAACAUUUUUUAUACCCUUUAUUAUACUACUAACUUGGUCGAAUACAAAACCAAGGUUCUCGAUGUCUUCGACUACUUCCUUUAACUUUAUGAAAAUCCAAUUAGAUGACCUUUGUAUUUUUCCUUCAAAGAUGUGUUGUUGGCACAAAUUAGGUGUCGCGUUGAAGAGAUAAUCCUCAAAUGCAAGGUCCAAAAGCCAUGACGAAAUAUUUGAAGCGAUUGUUGUUAUCAGUUUUAGUAAAAAAUGCCAAACUAAGAUUAGUUCUCUCCAUAUUAUAGUCAUACAAGGCCAAUUUAGCAUAACCUAGCAUAACCUUCUCAAUUGAAUCCAUUAAAUCCUUAAAACUGGAUUCUUUAAUCUUCAAGGUCUUUUAUCACCUCAUGACAACUUGAAAUUCAACGGAUAUCAUCAUUGAAGUUUGUAAGUCUAUAAAUUAUUUUGGGAUCUUGAAACUUGUACAAUAUAUCUUCUAAUAACCAAUUAUCUUACUUACAUGUGAUCAUUGCGACAAAUACCUAACAAAAAGAAUAAACCAAUUAUCUUACUUACAUCGAACUUCGUAACUCACAAAUGCCAUUUGUACCUAUCAUCUACAUAAAUAAAUGUGUAUACACUCUUAUUUAAUUUCUUUACUUUGAACUAGAAAUUAUACUUCAAUGCUAUCAAGUACACAGCUUCCUAAAAAUAUUUCUUGGUUUCAAAUAAUUGGUCAACUGACAAAUCUUCAUAACGGGAAAUUAUACGUGACAUACGAAAAGAUCGUAAACUAGGUUCAGACUAAGAGUUUCCACUUGACUCAAAUCUACGUAUAGAUAAGAAAUGAGAUCCCCACUUGUAAGUUAAAUUUUCUCCUCAUUACCUUAGACAAUCUUGGGGUUUGUGUGAAUCUUUAGUCUUCGAAAUAACUACAUUGUCCUCUCGAGCUAUUUUCACUAUCCCAAAAGUCAUCCACAUUAGGUUCCACUUUAUCAAUUCCUUCAUGUUCAUUCUCAGAAAUAUCCUUUCUACAAGAUUUAUAUAAAGAAUAGAAUGGUGAUUUUUGUUCAGGUCAAUAAGCCACUUAAAUCCAAACUCCAUUUGGUAUCGGAGAAAUUAGCAUUAAGGAGGUUUUAUACACCAUGAUACAUGUCUAUAUAUAAUGUAUUCACAGAUACACGAAGUGCUACAAUUCAUUUAUUAUUAUUUCCGUACCAUUUUCAAGUUCAUCGACCUUGAUCAUUUCUAACAAACUCACUAAAGUAACGAACAUUGAGGAGCGUCGAAUAUAUAAAUUUAAAAAAAAAUAUCUAAUACGAGCCUGCUAACCUGCGUGGUCGAACUAUCUGUUAAUAGUGAACGAUAUUUAAAUCCUAUAUAUUAAUAAACAAAAAAAAAAAAAAAUUGCCUGUUAACCAAUCUCCUCUUAACAACGGUGACCGCCUAUUUCACCUAACACAACACAUAAUGCGUUCUUCCUAAUAAAUUUGUGUAAAAUUUACUAACUUAUCCAAUAAUUCAUGCUUAUUCAUCUAAACAUUUUAAAAUAAGCAAAAUAGUAUUUAACGGUUAUAAAUGAAAUCCAAACUAAUGAAAUGCAAGAAAGUGAAAAUAUACUUACCAAUAUACAAAUUUAAAUGUUGACUUCUAAUAACUAUUUACUAGAUGCUUUUAUUGAGUUUUGAAGACACAUAUUAACAAAUAGAAUAGAAAUAAGAUAAAUUAGUAUUUGACGAAAUGAAAUAUUCGUGAAGUAAAUGAGUUUUGAUUUGUUAAAAUUUUAAUAUGCAUACUAAGCUAUAUAAAUUCUCUUUUGCAAUUGAAAAGAUAUUAAUUUUUAUUUAUUAUUAUUUUUUUUACAUUUAGCUUAUUUUAGCAAUUUUUAGAUCUUGAAAAAUGAUAUUUUGGUCUUUUUCUAUAAAAUAGGCCCUUAUAAAAUUUUCUAGUUACUAUGAUAGGCUGUUGAGUGAAUCAACAAGAUUGACUAGACUCUUUAGCCAAUGCUCACUGUAUUUUGUGGAAAAAUUGUUGUUGGGUCAUAAACCUUUCACUUAGUUGUAGAUUAUAUCCAAACCUUUGACCUGUUGUACCCAUAGUCCCAAAACUUUCAUUUUAUCGAACCUUGAGGAGAAAUGGACGAAAUCUGUCCAUUUUCCUGUUAGUUGACCAAAAUAUUAAAUAUUUGACUCAUUCUAACCAAUUAAGUGAAGGUCAAACGGUCCAUUCACUAUUCUCACUUCACUCAAAAAGUCUACUUUUUGUUUUCCUCUUUUUUGCCCUAAAUAAACCCCCCCCCCCCCUCUCUCUUUCUCUCUGUCUCUCUCUUACGUGUUAAUAGUUCCUCACCAAUGAGCAUAGCAAUGGAAAUGAAUGUUUGGAGCUAUGGAAGCCCUUUACAAAGACCUCGUGGACGAACUUGAAUCCAAGGAAGAUUUCUCACUUGCCCAUAUAGUCAAAAUAUGGGUGGGAGUAACUUUUUUACUUGUUGCGACCUUCUAAUGUGCGACAGAUUGAAAAAGCUAAUUCCUGCUUUUCUUCGAGCAAGGUGGGAUAUGGAAGCUGAAAUCAAGACCACCCUCAAUUCAACAUGAAUUAGUGUGUUGGAAACCUUGGAUGUUCGGAUUUGUCAUAGGAUUUAUUUUAAAAUAGAUCUAUAACUAGAUCGGUGUAUGAUGUUACUUUUGAAGUUAGACAUCCAUAGUAGAAUGUUGGUUUUGGACUUCAAUAUGUAGUGUUGGAGGCUGAAUUGUCAAUUAUCUUGUAGCAAUGAAGUAUGUCCUUAAUUUACGACGUUGUCAUGGUUUCCAAUUUUUCCUUAAUACUCAAUCAUUGCUUCGAAAUACAAGUGUGGUACAAGUAGUAAAAAUUACUACACAAUUANNNNNNNNNNNNNNNNNNNNNNNNNNNNNNNNNNNNNNNNNNNNNNNNNNNNNNNNNNNNNNNNNNNNNNNNNNNNNNNNNNNNNNNNNNNNNNNNNNNNNNNNNNNNNNNNNNNNNNNNNNNNNNNNNNNNNNNNNNNNNNNNNNNNNNNNNNNNNNNNNNNNNNNNNNNNNNNNNNNNNNNNNNNNNNNNNNNNNNNNNNNNNNNNNNNNNNNNNNNNNNNNNNNNNNNNNNNNNNNNNNNNNNNNNNNNNNNNNNNUUGAUCCAUAUCCCAACAUAAGAAGUCCAACGAGAGCGAUUUUUUUUUUCAAACAAGAAGUAGAAAAGUCAAAAUACAAAAAAAUUAUCUCCUCAGUAUUAUGAUAAAUUGCCCCUGUUUGUUGUUUACCCAUGUUUUGCUCCUCCACUUUUGUUCCAUUCUCAUCCAAACAUUGAUCCUAAACAUAUGUUUGAUAUACUUCAACCUUUAUUUUAUGUUCCUCCAUCAUCAGUAACUCAACAUCUAUUUGCUGCUCCUCCUUCACCUGUACCUCAACAUCUGUUUGCUUUUCCUCCAUCAUGUGCACCUCAAACUUAGUUUCAUUCACACCAAAUUCUUAUCCUCAUCAUCUACCUCAAGCAUUACAUCCAUUUCGUUCACUCUUAGGUUCAUCAACAAUAUACAUGUCGUUAGCUACCAAUGUUUCAUCAAAUACCUUUAUAGCAAGUAUGCUUUCUAAACUUUUUCAUUUUGAUGAGGUUUCGUAUUCUUUACUGGUUAACUAGUCUCGUUCACACUCUUUAAACUCUCGCCAGUUUCAAGAUCAAUUAUAGAAAUUGUAGAUGGUAAUGUAUUAUCCCAUGGAAAUUUCAAACUUCUACUAGAGGAAAAAUAGAAAUUAAUAACCAUUUUCUCAUCAAAAGGUCUCACUCAAUCUCUUCUUUUCAAACUUAUAAAGAUACCUCAUUUGCCCAAAAUAUGCCAACAUCUUUGGCCAUUGUUCAGUAGAAAUCUAUUAAACAAAUCUCCACAUAGUCUAGAUAACUUAUCUUAUCAUGUUCAUACACAAAAUUUUGCAUCUUUGCAAAUGAUAUUCUACCAUGGUGUAGCCGUAAAAUAUCAAUAAUUCUCUCUUAUACAAAAAACUUUGUAUCUUUACAAAUCAGAAUCGUACCCAACAGGUCAGAAAUGUUGGGAAUGGCUUAGACCUGGCACUAGGAAAUGGUUUACGUGUCUCCUCAUGCACUAUACGAUCGCAGAAGCGUGGUUCUCACGCAUGGCCACCCCGAGCAAUUUCACAGCUUUGAAUUCUUCUAGACCACCUCCUGCUUAUUCUAGUUCUCCAAGUACUACUCAGGCUCCUUGAUCCUAUGCCACAGUAGUUAAUAACAGACCGAACAUUAAUCAUGCUGAGAGGAGUCUCAGAAAAUCAUUCGCUUCUAUACUUCGUGCUCUUUAGAAAUCUAAAGACCACAUUUUUGUGUCUAAUGAACCAUACAUCCAUCAUGGAAAGCCUGCUAUAUUUUUCGACGAGUCAGAUGAACAGUUUUUGGUAGAGGCCUACAGUUUACCCUUGUAGGUAAAUUUGUGCAUCGUACACCUUCUAUGAUCAAGGUACGUGAAAAUUUUAUGCGUUUUGGUUUUGUUGAUGAUUAUAAGAUUGGACUUAUUUAUGAUGCACACAUUAUUAUUCAUAUGGCGCAUGAAGAUGAUUACUCACGAUUACUCCUUAAAUCCACUUGGUAUAUUGAUGGUUGACCUAUGCGAGUCUUUAAAUGGACCUCCCAGUUUUAGUCCACACCAUGAGGUAGUGCUACGGUUUGGAUUUCAUUUCCAUUGCUUCCUAUUCAUUUUCGGGCUAAGAGUGCACUGUUUGUCAUAACUAUGGUAUUGGGCUUCUACUUCUUAUUGACAAAGCUACUUUUAAUCUUUAACGAUCUAGUGAGGCCAUGUAUGUAUCGAGGUGGAUCUAGAAUGCAAAUUCCCUGAUAGAGAGUGGAUAGAGAUGGAGAAGAUUGGAGGAUAUUGCCAGCUUGUUGUAUAUGAUAAGGUACUAGAUUUCUACUUUGGCUGUAGACUGGACACUCGGAGGAUAUUUGUUCUAGUGGCUUGUACCUUACACCACUUGAUGUGGCCUCGAUUACUGUUAGGUCCAUUCCAGUUUUGGCUAAGGAUAAGGAUAAAGUGAAGGAAGUUGUAAAUGCACUAAGCCAGAGAUGGACAUCUAUUAAGAAAAAACAGAAGAGACUGGACGGUACAUCAGAUGUGAUCUCUUACUCCGUUCCUCAUAUGGUUCUCUUCAUUGUUCCUAGUAUCCCUAUCUCUACAGUUACUAUAGCACAGAUAGUUGCCACACACACGACCCCUAUCAAUUAUACUACUCUCCUGGCUAUUAGCAUUACUGCUCCACAGGUUACUACUUCUUUGCCAUUAGACCACUCUACAGUUGUUUCCAUUAAGAUUGAUACAUGAUGUCCUCCUGGAAUCACGUCAGCUUUCCGUCCAGUAGUUCAGUCUUNAAACCCCGUGAGCAGUGUACCUAUGAUCGCUAGUUCUACAUAUUUUGACCCUCUAUUAGCGGAUAUAAUAGAGAGGCCACAUGGCUCAAUUGGUUCAAAUAUGCUUGUUAUCUCUUUACAAUAUCAACAGAAUAUGGAGACGUCUUUAUCUACAGAUCUAUCAAAUCUAGAGGUUUUCUCUCAGAUUGAAGUUCAUAAGCACGGUUCAUAUCAUAGAUCUUCUUCUAAAGAAUUAGCAAAUACAGUCGGUAGGAUAGAGGACAAUGGCUUUAUCACGGUUGGUCAGAAGGAAAAUCCUAUAGUCAUUGAUAAUUAAAAUCCUAGGAUGGUAACCAGGAGUCGAUCACAAGAUACCACUUCACGUUCAUCUCGAUGAGUGCUAUCAUUUGAAAUAUAAGAGGUGUAGCUGGUAUAGUUACUCGUAGAUGCCUAAAGAAACUUAUUCAAAUUCAUCAAGUAUAUAUUUUGCUUAUUCUGGAGCCUACGGUGUUGGAGAUGAGUUUUAAUUGUGUUCGUCAUUAUCUGCACUUUGACUCUAGAGUUCAUAAUGAGUCGAACAGGAUUUGGGUCUUCUGGAAUGUAGGCAGUACCACUACUAUUAUAGAUGAUCAGAUCCAGUUUCUCUACGUUAGAGUUAAGAAUCCCAAGCUGGCACGACCGAUUUACUUUUUACCUGUAUAUGCUGCUUGUGAGCCCUCAGUUAGGAGAGAUUUGUGGGCCAGUCUUCACCACAUUUUCCUUUCCAUGGAUGACCUUUGGCUAGUUGGGGAGAUUUUAAUAUUAUUGCACAUGAUGGCAAACAGACUGGUUACAGUAAGCGAGAUCGUGGCUCCAGUGCUUUUUCAGACAUGAUGAUAGACCGUGGUUUGGUGGAUGCUGGGUUCUCUGGGUCUCAAUACACUUAGACAAAUGGUAAGUGCCUGGAUAGAGUUUUGACUAAUGCUACAGUUGCAGAUUUCUGCCGAUAGUUUACUAUUACACAUCUGAGUUGGACAUCAUUUGAUCAUUCACGUUUAUUGCUACACUGGAUUAAUGAUGAUGAUUUGGGUCCGAGGCCAUUUUGAUUUCUCAAUAUGUGGAUCAAGCACCAUGAUUUCUUAGUCUUUGUAUCUCAAAAGUGGUCACUCCCUACUUAGCUUGCAGGGAUGGUUGUUCUCUGGGAAAAGCUCUCUAGUUGAAACACGGGUUACGUUAGUAGAAUCGACGAGUAUUUAGUGAUGUAUUUUAACGGGUGAGGGAUGCUGAGGCAAGGGUUAACUAAGCAAAGAUUGACUUUAAGAAUGAUCCUACACUGGAACACCAUGAUUUGCUACAUCAUGCACAGGCUAAUUUGAAUCAGACCUUAGCUACGGAUGAUGGUCUUUGGAAGCAAAAGGUUGGGUCACGAUGGGCGUGUAAGGGAGACCACAAUACUCGAUAUUUUUCUGGGAUGGUCCAAGGACGUUGAAUCAGAUCUCGUAUCAGGACUAUCAUGACUCAGGCAGAGGAAGAUCUCUCUACUCAUGUAGAUAUUCAGAGCUCAACAAUCUCCUUUUUUCAGGAUUUAUUAUCUACUCUAUCACAGUCGUUGGAUCCCAUACAACCUAAAUUUAUAUCUAAGAUACUAACGGAGGUAGAUAAUUUGGUACUGAAUCUUGUCUCGUCGAUUAAUGAGGUUAAUUUUAGUAUUGAUGCUGACAAUGUUGCUGGCCCGACGGAUUCUCUUCUUUGUUUUACUAGCACUGUUGUAGAUGGACAAAUUAUCGACCUAUCAGCUUGUGUAUGGUGUUUAAUAAGCUUAUCACUAAGCUGUUGAACACUAGAUUGAGUUUAUAGCUGUCUUGUAUCAUUUUUCCUCAACGGAGUGGUUUUGUCUUCGGUCACCUUAUUGGGGAUAAUGUUUUGUUGACUCAGGAGCUCCUCCAUAUGUUGGAUGGUAAAGUGCAUGGAGGAAAUACUGUGCUGAAGCUAGAUACGGCAAAAGCAUAUGAUUGUAUGGAUCAGGGAUUCAUUUACUCUAUACUAGGAUCAAAUAGUGUAUCACAAAGUAUCGCUUUUUAGUGUUCCUAAAUGGUUGUUCAUGUGGCUUCUUCCCAUUUAGGAACACUAAAAAGAAGUCGUGAAGCCCAUCCUGAAAUCCUACUCAUGAUCCUCAUGUGGGCUCAGACAGGGAGAUCCUAUCUUCCCCUCCUUAUUUAUUUCGUUGCGAACUACCUCUCUCGCCUAAUUACUCAGAGGUUUCAGGCAUAUCAUGGAGGUAGUACCCUUAUUUUCCAUCUUUCUUUUGCUGAUGACAUGAUUAUAUUUGCUAAUGGUUAGAAAAAGGCUAUCAGAAGGGUAAUUGAGUGUUUGGAACACUAUAAGGAGAUAUCUAGCCAAUUGGUAAAUAGAAAGAAAAGUGGUCUUAUAUUGCCUCGAUGGGCAUCGAAUAUACGAAUACAGAGGCUAGUGAUUUUGAAUGGGUUUUCACAUCAGCAGUAGCCAUUCAGAUAUUUGAAAGUCCCUUUGUUUAAAGGGGCUAAGAGGAGAUUUCUUUUUGAUGACCUCAUUAUGAAGAUCAUGAGUAGGAUUUCAGGAUGGGCUUCACGACUUCUUUCUCCUGGUGGUAGGAUUACUUUGCUGAGAUCAGUUCUCCCCUUUUCACUAUUAUACCUCUUUCAAAUUAUGUAGCCUCUCAAGGCUAUACUUAAAAAGUUGGAGACCAUAUUUGCAUGACUCCUAUAGGAUUUGAAGGAUCAUGCACGGCGCUUACAUUGGUGAAGUUGGAAAGAAAUGUGUUUUCCUACUGAUGAGGAUAGAUUAGGCUUUAGGAGAUUACAGUAUAUAGUGGACACAUUCUCCCUGAAGCUAUGGUGGCUUUUUAGGUCUCAGAAUUUUCUUUGGGCUCAAUUCUUGUUGGACAAUUACUGUAAAGGGACACAUCUAUCACUUGAAUCAGUUCUUCACUCGGCCUUUCCUAUCUGGAAGAGACUGAAGAGAUUUGCUCCAAGUGUUAAGCCACAUAUUGCGUGGCACCUUGGGGCAGGUAAGAUUUUCUUUGGCAAGAUGUUGGAUAGGUGAUUCCACAUUAGCGUUCAUCUUCCCACACAGACAGUACACAUCUGCAAGGAUGUAGGAUUUUUUAGAGGAGAUUGGGCAUGACUUUGGACCAUUACUAUAUACUUUUCCACCAUUUAUGGCAGAACAGAUUGUGUCCAUUCCGCUUUGUAUCGAUGCCCCAUAUUGCAUAUUUUGGAAGGCUUCAUCAGAUGGUAUAUUUACAACCAAGUCAGCUUGGUAGUUGAUUCACUCUAGUAGGCCAAUAAAAGACUUGUUUUGCCUACUCUGGAGCCCAAUCAUACCUACCAAAUUUUCAUUCUUUUGUUGGAAAUUAUGGCAAGAUUUGAUUCCAAUGGAUGCUGUUAUUCAGAGGAGAAUAGGCAGUCAUCUGGCUUCUCGGUGCUAGUGUUAUUCUGAGAUUGAGACAAUCGGUCAUAUUUUCACUGGUAACAGUAUUUCAUAUCAGGUUUGGCAGCAUUUUGGUCGUUGUUUCCAGAUCCCUAUGAUUGCUGGUAAGAACAUCAGACAGAGAUUUCUGAGUUGGCAAUUUUCUAGACAGUUUGCACAGAGUGGGCAUAUUCAUAUCAUUAUUCCUCUAUUGAUCUUCAAGUUCACUUGGAUAGAAAGGAAUGAUGCGAAACAUAGGGAUAUACCUAUGAGACCUAAACAAAUCAUUUGGAGGGUAUAUCGUGUGAUCUCCUUCCUUCACACUGGAGGAUUGUUUCGACUACUACAUUGGCGUGCUGAAAUAGCUUGCUCUAUCUUUUGGUAUUUCUAUGACUUCCUUCUGCUUCUCUUUCCUACUAUGGUUUGGUGACGNNNNNNNNNNNNNNNNNNNNNNNNNNNNNNNNNNNNNNNNNNNNNNNNNNNNNNNNNNNNNNNNNNNNNNNNNNNNNNNNNNNNNNNNNNNNNNNNNNNNNNNNNNNNNNNNNNNNNNNNNNNNNNNNNNNNNNNNNNNNNNNNNNNNNNNNNNNNNNNNNNNNNNNNNNNNNNNNNNNNNNNNNNNNNNNNNNNNNNNNNNNNNNNNNNNNNNNNNNNNNNNNNNNNNNNNNNNNNNNNNNNNNNNNNNNNNNNNNNNNNNNNNNNNNNNNNNNNNNNNNNNNNNNNNNNNNNNNNNNNNNNNNNNNNNNNNUGGCGUGCUGAAAUAGCUUGCUCUAUCUUUUGGUAUUUCUAUGACUUCCUUCUGCUUCUCUUUCCUACUAUGGUUUGGUGACGCACUCCAUCAGAUGUAUCUGUAAAGAUCAGUACUGAUGGAUGUGUCAAGGAUGGUAUUGCGAGCAGGGGAGGUAUCAUUAGGGAUCACGAAGAUAAAUGUAUCAUGGCCUUCUCAACUUCAUAUGGACAUUGUAUGAUAUUAGAGCCAGAGCUUAGAGCUAUUCUCGACGGAAUACUAUUGGCCAGGGAUCUUAGGUUUUCAGGCAUUUGGGUUGAGUCGGACUCUAUUAUGGCUAUUCAUUGUAUCACCAAAGGUGGAAGACCAUGGGAUACUCAAGGCUUACUUAGAAAGAUUGUAGACAACAUUUCACUUGAAAGAAAUAUGAUUUCCCACAUCUACAGAGAAGGAAACCAAGUUGCAGAUGCACUUGUUUCAGAAGGUUGGGAUCAUUGGAAUUUUCGAGUAUAUGGUCUAGCAGACUAACCACGGCACAUCAGGGCACUCGCACAGAUUAUAUAUAUAUAUAUAUAUAUAUAUAUAUAGUGUAAGAUUUUGGUCUUUGUAACUUUCUUUUUAUGUACAUUAGCAUUUAUCGUAAAAGAAGUAGUAAUUCCUAUUUUAUUGCUUUCCAGUUAUUGAUUACUUUUAUUGUAAGGGAAGUAGUGCUUCCUCAUUUAUUGCUUUUAUUGAUAUUAUAUGUAAUCAUGUAUUCCUUCGUCACAAGGGAGGAUAUAUUAAUAAAAUCUUGGAAGUACCGCCCUCCUUCCACUAUACCCAAAAAAAAAAAAAAAAAAGAUUGAACAUUUCAUAUAAGUUCAAUAAAAAAAAGUUUAAAAACCUAAACAAAUAUAUAUAUAUAUAUAUAUAAAAUUCACUAUACUCGAGUUUGGGGAGGAAGCAUCUAAAAUGACAAGCAAUUUCUAUUGGAUUAUCUUCAUAAUCAUGAGUUUCUUGUAAAAUUAUUGUAGAAGAGAGUGGUGUAGAGUGCUCAUUCUCGUUCAAUUUGUGGAUGUAAAAAAACAUAACACCUGCUUUUUGAUUUUAAAAGUGUGAAUAUUGAACUGAUCAUUUUAUUCUUCACUUAAUUGGUCAAAAUGAGUCAAAUUCUUAAUUUUUGGUCAACUAACGAGAGAAUGGACGAAUCCUGUUCAUUUAUCCUCUAGGUACAAUGAAAUGAAAGGUUUAGGAUUGUGGGUGCAACAAAUCAAAUAUUGUUUGAAUAUGAUCUGCAACUAAGUGAAAGGUUUGGGAUCUUAAUUGCAAUUUUUCCAUAUUCUGAUGAUGACCAAAGAUUUGAUGAUCUAACUCAACAUUAAAAAAUACACACAUAUACAUGUACGUAUAUAGAUAAAAGUGCAUUGUAAAUAACGAGAGCUAACAAGGGCAUGCACGCUUUGAUCACGUAUUUAUCUAUGGUUUGUGGGGCAGUUGAACUGAAAUUAGUUGAAUUUAGUUGGCCUGAGUUUAAUUCAUUGACAAAAGAUGGAAACAACACUCUUCUUCUUCAAUCCAAUGACCAACCUUCUUCACAGACACACACAAUGUGUGUGUGUUGGUGAGCGUACCACACCUUCUUUGAACUAUAUAAAUACGUCCCAAAGACUUCCAUAUUCGCCUCUAGAAUAUUUUGGAGGAGCCCUCCAAUAUGGAAGAACAAGAAGCCCCACCACCACUUCCACCGCCACCUCCGCCACCACCGCCACCGCCGCCCACCAACCCUCCUUGUCUCUUCACACCUUCUAUUUCAUCAACCCUUCUGCCAAAUACGAAUUUGGAAAGCUUAAUGUCUUGUAAUUACAAUCAAAAUCAUAUCUUUGAACAAAAUGCUGCUGAAGCAUCUGUGAAUGUGGCCAAAUUUGCUUAUGAAGAUAAGAGCGAAAAUAUUAAGGAUAAAAGAAGAGGUGGUCGAAAUAGAAAAUCCACCAUUCCAAGAUUUGCCUUUCAAACCAAGAGUGAAGAAGAUAUACUUGAUGAUGGCUAUCGUUGGCGAAAAUACGGCCAAAAAUCUGUCAAAAAUAGCAAGUUUCCCAGGUUAUUCUUCAAAUUUUCAACUUGCAUGGCCAUUUUUUCUUAUAUUACGAAUAAUUUUCCUUUUUAGAAAAUUACAAAACCAUAUUCGAGGUUUUUUUUUUUACGAUGCCAAAAAUAGAUGUGAGUUUUGGAUUAUAACUUUUUCUCUUUAUUUUAUAUUUGAAACUGUUACUAAAGAAUGUUAAAAAUUUUCUCGCUAUUUUUCUCGUUCGUUAGGAUAUUCUUCCACAUUUUUUGAUUAAGAAAAAAGUUUAUUGUUUUUAGCUAAAAUAAUAAUCAAAAAUAUUUUUGGUAACGUUUAAACAAAAUUAAAAAAAUGUUAAGAAAAGUUAUAUAUGUUAUGCACAUAUACAAUUGAGAUCACUUUCCCUUUUUACAAUAAAUUAACAAAUAAAAUAACUGCAUAUUUUAGAUUAAUAGUUUAAAGCACAACAACAUAGGACAAGUCAAAUUUUAACAAUCUGAAAUUUUGAUAAAAUUCUCUGCUCAUUUGCAAUUGCAAUCAUAUUGUAAGAUAUGUAACCUUCUUUUUUCUUUUUCUUUUUUUUUUUUUUUUUCAAGAUGCAAAAAACUGCUAUUGUCUCCGGAUCAAAGUUUGGAUUUCCUCUUUCUAGUAAGAAGUUUGUCGAUUUUGUUACUUUCGUAAAAAAAAGAAAAAAUUAACUAGGCAAAUAUUAUUGAGACUUUUUUGUUAAUGGCAAAUUUUACUUCGAAUAAAAAAGAUAUAAAUAUUAUGCAUAUAAGCAUUUAAAAUAUUCAUUUUGAAAAGACUGGCCUUUUACAACGAACAUCAAUUACGUUCUUAAUCACUUUGUGCAACAAGAGGGUUAAAAAAAAAAAAAAAAAAAAAACUUUCUUUAAGUUAUAAAUAAAUUUUUAAAGCUAAACAUAAGAAAUUAGAAAAAUAAGAAAAAUAAUUUUAAAAUAAGCAAAAAAUUAUGGUUUAAUAUUGCACUCUCAUGUAAAUUGAUAUUUGUGUUGGUAGAGGGAUAUAGACACGUGUGAACACAUAUAUACACAAAAACACAUCGCAAGGGAAGAAUAUAUAUAGGGCCCAUUCGGUAGUGAUUAUAAAAAUUACUUUUUUGACCGUUGGGAAGAAAAGUGGAAGCCACCUGUGAGUGAAGAAGUAAAAAAUAACGGCUAAAAUCAUGAAAUAACUAUUAAAAAAAAUCAAAUUUUUGGGGUGAAAAAGCACCACCAAACGGGGGCAUAAUAUACCCUCUUUUCGAUAACCACUUUUUCGUGCAUAAUAAUUUUUUUUUUUUUUUAUAUCUCCAUAAAUUAUAUACCUGUUUUCGAUUGAUCCUCAUUUUGAAAUUUUACCUUCAUCAUCUUGCAUGGAAAGGAGCUACUAUCGAUGCACACAUCACACAUGCAACGUGAAGAAACAAGUACAAAGGCUAACCAAGGAUGCGAGCAUUGUUGUGACAACGUACGAGGGAAUCCACAACCACCCGUGCGAGAAGCUAAUGGAAACUCUGAGUCCCCUUCUCAAACAAAUCGGGUUCCUCACUAACAGGUUCUAGUAAUUCGUGUCAACUACUGCAGCCGCAAAAUCUGCCAAUGUUUAGAGAACGUGUAUGUUUUCAACUUGACUUUGUAUGCUUUUGUAAUAUCUUAUAUAUAUCUAAUGAUAUUAAUUUGAAAUUGAAGUAGUUGAAUCUGAAAAGUGAAAGAGGGGUUGCUUGAGUAUAUUAAAAACGGGUGGGAAGCCAAUGGAUUUGACCCGAUCGAUUAUAUGAAGUUGGGUUGGUGGGAGAAGUUAUAUUGUUUGAAUUCUUGAUUUACAAGUAAGCCCGUUUGGAUUUAGUUAAAAAAGUUAAUAAAAAUCAAAGUCAAAAUUAAUAAUUAAUUUAAUUUUAAUCAUAUAUUUCAUGAGAUUCAUAACUUUUAUAAAUUUUUUAUUAAAUCUCCCAUAUAUGCAUUACAAGGGAGAUACAAAAUAUGCAUUUAAAUUCGUGCAAAAAAUCUAAUGUGCAAUAGUUCAUGUUUGUAGUGUUGCUUUUGUGAAAGAUCAAAUUCAUUCUAUCCUGAAAGGCGGUAUUUGACCGACUUAAGUACCACAGAAGGGAGUGAAUUCAUUUUAAUAACACAUCAUGAAAUCAGAGUGCUCUUCUUCCGAUUUUGAUCAUGUUGUUCUGAUUUUUACACUAUUCAAAUUUGUCCCGAUAAUCUGCAAGUGUAAGUAUCUUCAAAUUGUUCAGACGAGCAAAUGACUCAAUGAGAAGUACUUUGGAGUUUUAAUUCCUCCUUAUUUCUAUGAUACAAAUAAGUGUUGCAUACAAAAUAUUGCUAAGGAUAAUCUCAUGUAAACGAUAUAAGUAGAGUAUUGUAAGAUAAUCACUGCAAGAAACCAUAUAAUGUAAACAAGAUAAGUGGAAUUGUACGAUAUUAAUCUUUAUAGAACACCACAUAUGUGAGGCGGCUUGGCUGAUUGUAAGAGAAUUUUACUUAGGUAAAUUGUCUAGUGCACUUGCAGAGUCAAAAAAGGUUCAAGGCCGAAAUAGUGAAAAUAUCAAAGUUUGAUUUGAGAGAUACUGCUUUGAUCUAUUAUCUAGAUUUACAAUAAUUGCCCACAUUUCACAUCUUAAAUGAAAUGAGCUUACUAUAAUCGAUAGCAUUUUAUGAAUUCGAUAGUAUGGUAAAAAAAAAUCAUCUAUUUCGUUCUUAUCAUACUAUCUGCAAACUAUAAUUCUAAGUAAUUGCUCCACAUAUUGAAAAUUGGUAGGAGCGACAUAUUGAUGUAAAUAUUUCAGCCCGAUGAGCUAAACAGAAUCUCUAUUUUAGAAGCGAAUCAACGAAACCAAUUGACCAAAGGAAGGUUUAAAACGAAAAAUACCUUUAAUAAUUCAUCUUUUUUUAAUAUCUACACUUUUUUAAAUGUUAGUAAGUUGUCCUUUUACUUUUUUCAUGCACGGAUCUUGGUUUCGAUAAGUUGAAACUCUAUAAGAUAAUUUAUAUCUUAAUAGAAUAUAUUAUCGCGCACAUAUUUUUACUUGACGGAUCAUAUAAAUUAUGCACCGAUUUUUGCAAUAGAUGUAGGAACACGUGUAAAAACUACAAGAAAAAUGAGAACAAAGGGCUUGAAUUACUUAAUCUACCUAUGACGAGUGAUUCGAUUCUUCGAGACAUGAGUAUGUGCUUUAAUCCAUUCACCGUAAUGCCUUGGACCAAGCUCAAGGGCGGACCCAGGAACAUGAUUCAAUGAGGGCGAGAAAGAAUUAUGUAAAAAUUAUGAGUUAAAAAAGUAAAUUUAUGGAUUAAAAAUUAUGUGGACUACUUUGUAAAUGUCAAAAAGUAAGGGUCCGCUCCUGACCAGGCUCAUUCAAUGUGUGCACCUCGAGUUGCACAAUUCAGUCGCGCACUUUAUGAUUGAGCACUCCACAUGUAUAGCAAAAUUCUGCUAGGAGUGCUUACUGUAUCAACACAUUAAAUUUUAGUUGAAGUUUCUCAAUGUAAACUGGAAUGCCUCAUUCUAAUAAGGAAAAGCCUGGCCAAUUAAAUUUUAGUUGAAGUUUCUCAAUGUAAACUGGAAUGCCUCAUUCUAAUAAGGAAAAGCCUGUUUGGCCAGGCUCAAGGCUAGGUCAAAUUAUUGGGGGCUGCUACUUUGAGCUUGGCCAAAAAGCAGGGCUCUUCCGAUAAUUAUGUGGGGAUUCAAACAUGCACUCGCAUACACGGACGACCCAAAUCAAUGACUUACACCAUUCUCCACUUUCUCGCAUAUUCCUCUUUCUAAAAUUAUGAAAACGAGACUUAAAAGAAUUAUGUAAAUACCACUACUUGAAAGAGAAGUUGAUUGUUAAAGGUCCAUCUACCUCCUGAAACACCCUUUACUGAUUGGAUUUGUUCCCAAAGUAGAAGGCUAAAAGAUUGUAUCCACCCUUUGACUCAACCCUUAUCCUACGACCUGUCUUCCAUAGUAAUCGCAGCGCCCCAGAGGCCUGCACGAACCGAUCAUAUUCUUACACGACAAUCCAACUUAAUAUGCCUCCGUAUCAUAAAUUCAUCUGAAUCGUCGAGUAACUCAGUUCAUAACCUGAAUCAUAUCGUUGUUUAUAGCAAGUAAAAAUAUCUCUAAAAGACUCUGCAUUUAAAUAGCAUAUUUUAUCAUUUGGAGAUCAUCUAAAAGUUUAGAGAGUCAAAAUUUUAAAAUACUCUGACAAACUCUUUAUAUUUAAUACUUAAUUUUACUAUUCCCAAAAAAUAUUUAUUGUUCUCUAUCUUUUCAUAUUUUAUCAUUUGGAGAUCAUCCAUAAAUUUAGAGAGUCAAAAUUUUGAAAUACUCCAACAAAUUCUUUAUAUUUAACACUUAAUUUUACUAUUCCCAAAAAAUAUUUAUUGUUCUCUAUCUUUUAUUUUCACUAACUUUUCGUAAAUUAUUUUAUUAUUAUCCUACAUUGAAAAUUGAAGCAUUUUGAAUGCAUUUAAUUAUAGAAAGUAAACACUCUCUAAAUUAAAAUGUUAAUUUAAAGAGUUUCUUAGGAUGUGUUUGAUUGAAAGUAUGGAAUUUGUAUGGGAUAUGCAUGAAAAUUGUCAAUUACAUGUGUUCGAUUAAUUUAAUUUAUAGCCUAGAAAAUAUUAUACUUGUUAAUUGUUUAUUGAUGUAUAGAUAAGAGAGAGUGAAUAGAGAGUGAAUUUUCUGAAAAAUAAAAUCAUAUUCCCCCUAAAGAAAAUAGUUUCCUUAAUUUUGAGGGAAAUAUGGUCACGUGACAAAAAGUAGAAAAACAUUUUUCAUAGAAAAAAUGACAAUCAAACAACACAAAAGUAAGAAUUUGGAUAGAAAAAACACAUUUUUCAUGAAAAAUAUUGACAAUCAAACGCACCCUUAAAGAAUGAUUUUAAAUAUCGACUCUUUAAAAUAGAGAAUAUUUCAUAUUUAAAGAGUCUUUUGAAAAUAUUUUUAGAAAAAUAUUAAUCUCAACCAUAUUUCCAAUAGAGACAUACACUUCUCGUGAUUGUAUUUAAUCUCAGAUUAAAUAAUUACAAAUUGAAAAUUUUCUCUUAGCCUCUGAAUUCCUAUUUGAUAUGAAUUAAACCUUAAUUAACAAAAGUUUCAUUUAGAUUUUAAUAAAAUAAAAGAACCUUUUUUUACCCCUUGAACCUGAAUAUUAUUUCAUAAUACCACUAUAGUCUGUAAAUAAGUAUUGAAAUAAUUUUGGAGGAAACAUAAUUGUCCCAAAUUAUAGUAUAGUGAUCGAAUUUGAGACAAAAAUAAAAUCUAGAGUCCUAAUUGAUACAAAUUAAAGUAACUAAAAGUACAAUGAGUCUUGAUGAAAUUAACCAAAACCAGUGAAUAAGAUGAGUCCAAAACAAUUAUCUUUAAGGAUGUUGAUGGGCCGAACUACCUUAGCUCGACACUUCUCACUUAACGUUUUUACUUCUCCCUCUUAAUGCAAUCAUCUCUCUUUACUAGUGAAAAAGAAAAAUAUAAUUAUUAUUCAUUUCUAUUGAUUAAUGUGGCAAAUUUUGAGUACUAGCACCAAUUCAUGACAAAUUGUUAGAAUGGCAACGAAUGAUAGGCCCUUGUCGGCCCUACUUUUUGUGGAAUUUUUGAAAGGUGGGUAAGCAAGAUGGAGAUUAAGAUAUCCCUAUUAUUCAUUUAGUUGAUUAAUUUAUAUAGUAUUAUAUUUUCAAACAAGCGUUAGUUGAUUUCUUGGCAGCUCAUCCAGCUUCAGAUGACACUCAGGCGGAGUUGGUCAUGACAUGGACAACUGUUACUAUUUGAAAUAUUGGAUCCAAGACCUCAUUGAUCAUUUAAUUUAAAUUAUAAACAUAAAAAAACUAAAAUUUAAGGUAGGACGUAUGUAGGAAUGUUAAGUUUUGCGAACCGAGCGGGUUUGACUUGCAAACUAGGUAAGUCGACUCGUAAAUUGAAAGUAAAAUACAUUUUUUGAUUAAAAAAUGAUUAAUUGUGAAUGGUUCAUGAGUCAAUUUGGCUUACCCUACCAGUAGACGAGCUGCGGGUGAGCCAACCCCACAUUCGACAAAACGAGUCUGUUCAUGCUCAAAUCGUCGGUGGAACGAACUUGAUGGUGGACAAAUUGAACGUAUCGACUUUAUCCAUUUAACACGCCUAUACACGCGGAGGUGACUGGGGACGGGAUAUAUACGAGUUUGCACUAGACUCCAAAUGAGAAAAACUUGGGAAAAAAUAAAAUAAUAAAAAGUAAGAUAACUCAUUGCUUCCUGUGUCCCUAUCAUAUUGACACGCAUGAUGAAACCUUUGGACCAUUACACUCCACGUUGCUCGUAUACUAUAGUGUAUAAAAUCGUGUCUAGAAUACGUUGCAAGUGCAUAUAUAUCUAUAUAUUAAUAUACACAUGUACCUGGAUUUCAUUAUUGUCUGAUCCCUGUUGUUCUAUUGUGUAAAGAGAAGAAGCCGAGAAGAGAAGAAGAAAGAUGCAGGAUUUGAUGGGCAAAGCGAAGAAUUUUGUUGCAGAAAAGGUGGCUGACAUGGAAAAACCAGAAGCCGACAUUACAGAUGUGGAUCUUAAGGAUGUUGGAAAAGAGGGCAUAACGUAUAUGGCUAAUGUUUCCAUUAAAAAUCCAUACAGUGCUUCUAUUCCCAUUUGCGAGAUCCAUUACUCCCUCAAAAGUGCUAACAGGUUCACUCUCUUCAUUCCCUGCAUCUAUCCGUAUCUCUUUCUUUAUGUAUAUGCUUGUUUAGGCUCCCUUUGAGCCCCAUUUUCUGAAAAAGUAGAUUUUGAAAUAGAAAAUUUUAUUGGAAAAUAUAUGGUAAAAAAAAAAAAAUUGAAUAUACGUAUGCAAAUUAUAUUAUUAAAAAAUAUGUGAUUGAAAAAAAAUUUGAAAAAAAAAUGAAAUUUCAAAAAAUGGACUCAAAAAGGGCCUCAAUCCAGUCUUUCUCCUCUUCUUCUGGACGUCGACUUAGCGUUGGAAGGCGACGAAGGUGAGUGCCGAUGCCGGCGUCGGCGUGGGGAGGCGACGCUGCUGUGAACAACAGCGUCGUGACAGAUUCGUUUGCCUGUCUCCAUCUCCUCUCUCUUCGACGGUGACUGCGGUUUGGGGGAGGCGAAGUUCGCAUGUUGAUUUUGGUUUAUUUGGUGGUGGGAUGUUUGAUUGUGGUGGUGGUGGUGGUGUUGAUUUUGGAUUCUACAUUUCUCGGUGGUGGUGUUGAUUUUUUAUUGAUUUCUGGUGUUGAUUUGGGUGUCAGUGCGGUUGAUUUAGGUUGAUGGUUGUGUCGUGGUGGUGCGGUGGUUGAUUUUGAGCAGAAAUUAGGAUGGUGCGGUGGUUGACUGGCUGAUUUUGAGCAGAAUUUCCGGCCAGACUGGCCGGAAUUAGGGCCAACUGUUGGGUGGGGUUUGUAGGCAACAUUGUGGGCUUCAAGUUGGUACUAUGAUUCGGCAGCUAUGGUGGCCGGAAAGUGGUGGUUUGACCCUCCAUAGGUGGCAUGGAGUUGAUGGUUGAUGGUGGUGGGGCGGUAUUGAGAGAUAAGAGUUGAAUUUAGGGUUCGAAGUGAACGCGUUUUUGAGUUUCGUAUUUUGAGAAAUAGUUAUCUAAAAUAACAAAAAGAACGCAAUUUUAAUAUUCUCAAAAUGGACACUCAAAAUACAAAAUUUAAAAUAAAUUCAAAACUCAAAACAGACAAUUGAAACACAAAGAGAACAGAGCCUAAAAAUUUAAAUUUGAUGAAAAGAAUAACUCUCUUAUAAGUUAGGGAUGGUGGACAACAAUUCUCUGUCUCAAUUGUUUGAAUUUUGGUUAGAACAAUUUGUGGGUUCCAAAUAUUUAAGAUGAAAAUGUUAUUAUUAUUUUUUUGCACCAAACAUGCUAUAGUACAAGUUAUUUUCCUAAAUAGCAAGUCAAGAUUUAAUUUAUAAAAUGUAAGUCCUGUACAGAAAGUUUUUAUGUUGCCAUCCGUGGGUAGAAGCUUAUCUGAUAUUUGUAAAUAGUAACGUUGAAAAUUAUAUUGGGCGACAUUGAGAAGUUCUGUUUCACUUUAAAGCACAAUCUAAUUUGCCCCAUGUUUAUAAAUUAUCUGUAAUUACUCAAAUCAUUUUUUUUUUUUUUUUUAACACAAUACCUUUUGAUACUUGUAAAAGGCGUAGCAGUUAAACUAUAGACUCGAACUCUAGUCGAAUUUUUAGAACACCACACAAAACUGUUACGCAUUUAUUCCAUCACUUAUUUCUAUCUUUUAUGAUUUAAAAGGUUUAUAUCAAUUCACAAACAUAAACAUAUCGUGAUUUUAACGAAGUAGUAUUUCUGCUUUAUUUAAUUCACAAGAAAACCUAUAUAUAUAUAUAUAUNNNNNNNNNNNNNNNNNNNNNNNNNNNNNNNNNNNNNNNNNNNNNNNNNNNNNNNNNNNNNNNNNNNNNNNNNNNNNNNNNNNNNNNNNNNNNNNNNNNNNNNNNNNNNNNNNNNCCUUCAAGAUAUCACUCGAGGUAUUUUACUAAGUAAAUGGGCAUUUGGUCUAAUAAAUAACUUUUUAUUGAUUUGAGUUAGAAAUAAAUAGCUUAUUUAUUUUUUACACUAUCUAAUUGAAAGUAGAUAAGAAAUUUCGAAUAUUCAAAUAUGUUUGAAAUUAAUAAUUUAUCUAUCUUACGUAUGAACACAGCAUCUGCUAGUGACAGUCUAAGCUCACCACAAAUAUUGAAAGACUUCAAUUGAUCACACAAAUUUAAAAGAUGAUGGUGACAGGCCGAAUGUAUCUUUAGGAAGACAUUGGUGAUUGUGUUCUUGUCAAAAUACGUGUCCAAUUGAAGAAUAUAAAAAUAGUUCUCUUAAUGAUAGAUAAUAAAGAUAUCAGUUUUGCUACAAUUAUAUUUUGGUCGAUAGUUUUGUUUACAUUUCAUGAUGUGACACAUAGUUUCGUCAUUGACUUGAACAAUACUUACAAUAAUCGAUGACCUAGAUUAUUACACAUCAUGAGAUGUCAAUUAAGAUGUACAAAUAGAAUGUAUAAGUAGCUUAUUCGAGGAUAGAAUGUAUAAGUAGCUUAUUCGAGGCAUUGUUUUUUCUAUUUGUGCACAAGUAAAUUUAUGUAGGGGUUUGGUUCCAUCUAAAUGAAAAUAGAUGGCUCCAACAUUUAUGGGGUUUUUCUGCUGAUAUUUUUUUAUUGACAUGAUUAGGAUUAAACUCUAAUCUAGAUUACUUAUUGGUGCUGGGAUGACAUAUAUUCCUAGUCUAGUUUUUUGGGUAUCUCCUUGUGAUUUUGUACUUUCACAAAUUAAAUAUAAUACACUUUCCUUAUCAAAAAACUCUCAAUUUUGGUAGUGUUUUCUCUCUUUUAAGAAUUUUGAGCGUGUUUCGAAGUGAAUUUUUUGUAUGGGGAGAGAGAUUGAGACAUUGGCAGUCAAAAAUUGUUUUUUGAUUCAAGCUGUAUUUUCAAUUUUUGAGAGAUUUGACUUCAAAUACUUCCUGAAUUCACCUUGUUUUUCGAUACUAGUUCCUCAUGAAAUCCAGUGACGAAUUUAGGAUAGGACGAAUAUGUAAAGAAAACACUUAAAAAAAAAUUUACUUGCAAAAAUUCCUUUUUACACACAAAAUUCGUAAAUGGGUUGGAACUGAAGUCCAACCUUGUCCAGUUCCUUUCAAUUCGCCAGUGGGAUGCUUAACAUGUGCAACUUGUACGGGAAGUAGUGUUUCACUCAAGGACAUGCUCUUUGGGAGGAGAACUUAAAAUAGCAUAUCCAGCACCUGUUUUCCAGGGUGACCAAAGGACUUGUGCCAAUUUGAAGGGUUAGAUGUAGAACUUUAUAAAGCAGCAAGUAUUGAAGACUCCUACAAGAGAUGAAUUGGAUAGAAAGAGUCGUCGUGUCAUCCACUUCUUUUAUUAUAUGUUCUAAACACCGGUGACAUGAUUGAUAGAUAAUUUUAUGAUAGAUCUCAAUUAUCUUUAUUUGACUUCUUGUAGAAGAGGUUUUAGAAUAAAUUAUUUUAAUUAGUGUUUUUAAAUUAAUUUUUACUUUUGAAAGAAAGUUUCUCUAAAAGUUUUUCUAACUUCUUACUAGAAGAAGUAGAAAUUACACCCACACCUAUUUUUCAACUUUUCAUUUCAACAAUUGGGUACAAGGUAUUUUCUUUCAAAAAUCAGGUAAACCCUACCCCAAUGCACCUGCCCUAAACAUUUCUACCCAAAACAAACUCACUCCUCCUUUGACUGCUGCUUCAUUCUUCUCUUUUACCUACUAUUUCCAUCUCCGCUCGCCGCGCACCCAUAGCUAUGAAUGGCGUUGCUUAGAGCAUAGUGACUACUUGUUGUCAUUCUUCUUCUCCGGUUGUACUUUCACCUCUUCGCUUGUCAUGAAACGCACAUCAGUGAUGGGCAUUGCUGCAGUCAUUGCUGCAAAGGCGACGAUAUAUGUGCGAUGGGUUUUUCUCUCCAUGUUCUUGCCUCAAAUUUCAUUUUUGUUCCUUUCCUUCCGAUUUUAGUUGUCGUAUGUGCAGUGAUCGUGUGGCGAUGUAACAUUAUAAUAUACUACGAAGAAUGGAGGAAUAAUUGUAAAAGAGACAUGGAAUCAUAGGAUAGUGCAUCAUUAAAUUUUUUAAGUCAAUUAUUUUCAUAUAUUCAAACAGACAUUCUUUAUAAUAAUAAUAAUAAUAAUAAUAAUAAUAAUAAUAACAAUAACAAUAACAAUAACAAUAACAAUAACAACAACAACAACAACAAUAACAACAAAAACGUUAAUUUAAAUUUUUAUCAAAACAUCAAUAAUAAUAAGUGUAGGGGCUCAAAGUCGUGCACAAACACUUUCGGCUUCUCCUAGCCACACUCGAUGGUUGGUUGGCACAAACAUGCUCACGUCCCAACAUUUUGGCCUAAUAGCCGUGCUAGGCCAUUCAAAAGUAGCUUGAUCCAACCCGCUUUUCAUUUCUAAUCCAAAAGAGAGCAGUUAUUAUCAUCUACUAUUGUUAACAACAACAUGUGGAAAUUGGGUCAAAUAACCUCUCACAUAAUAUACUUUGCAAAUUUAGCCCUUGACUAGAAUAAAAAUAUUAAACUAAAUCAUUUAAAUUAAAAUUAACAAACUACCUGAAUUGCCCUUAUUCCAACCAAAGAAAUUUCCCCUUUUCAUUUUCCUUUCCCAAAUCCAUCUUCUCUCUGGAACGUAGAAACAUUCGAAACCUAAAUCCAUCUCUUCCCUUACAUACUUCACCAACAUUUCUUUUCGAAUUAAAAUUCAAACCGAAACAUCAUUUCCCUGGAAGAAAAGAAAAUCUGUCAAAACUAAAUCCCUACAGAUUUUUCGGAAUCUUUGCAUUCAACUUGUAAGAAACAAAGGCAUUGUAGCUUGAAGGAGAUCUCCAUUCAGGACCCUAAAAUGGUGUGCUCGUAAGGGAUCAAUUUGUGAGAGUUCAUUAAUACUGGUUGGAAGCGUUGCUCAUUUGUAUUUAUCAAUCUCCAAGAAUGGUAAAGAUCAAAUAUUCAUACUUGAUUUAUUUAUCUGUUUAUACUUUGCUCUCUUGCUGAAGAUUUAUUGGAGAAAGAAAAAAAGUUAUAACUCAUUGGGAGUUGUGAUUUUUGCAAUAUUGGGUUGUUGGGCAAUUUUGUAUCUGAGUAACCAUUUAUAUGGAAGCAGCUACUAUAUUUCUAAAUUUAUAUGGAGGGCUUGGAGUUAUUCCAUGUCUCUUUGUUAUAAUGAUUUAUUUCCUAGGUAAUUUUUAGUGCAAUUUCUCAAUACACAAUGUCAACAGAACGAGGUGAUUUUGGACUCUUUAAUUGAAAUGUCGAUUCAUAAUAUUCUAAAAAUGUCAUUUUUAAUGUAUGAAUGACCCAAUAAGGUGUUAAUAAACUCUGUGACUCGAGUCUUGUUGUAUUAAAUAAGAAUUCCUAUAUUCUGUGCAAAUAAAAUUUUUAGCUAGUAGCAAUUUCUAAAGCCUUUUCUUACUGAUAUGAUUUGUAUAGUUACGCUUCACCAUCAUUUCUUCCCUUUCAAAUGCCUAUUCUUCUAUAUCUUCUUCCUCUAAAUGAGGUUAGCUGUAAUUAUUCUUCCAUUUGAAAAGCUACCACCAUCUCGAGCACAGCUUCACCAUGAACAAGUUCCAAUGCGAACAACCAACGUGAACAGCUCAUUCAAGGAACCAAUUUCUAAGUUGUCUAACCUCAGGCAUGAAAGUGUCAUCAAUUUUCCAUUGUUGAAAGAUUUUGUGUGAAUUUUGUGAAAAAUGUUGGCUUCUCAACACGUUAAUAUUUUGUUAUUGUAUCCCAUUUAGUUGUUUUUUUUCUUGAAAGUAAGUCUCUUGUAUCUUAACCAUCUUUCUAAUCCAUUCAUGUUGGUUUUUUGGUAUCAUUGACACCCCUCGAUCAAUGGUUAAAUUUGGGAAGUUUGUUGCUCUUUGAUUCUUUCUUUUUUACUUUUUGUAUGCACUAAUGGUUUUUAUUGGGUAUACGAGUGUUAGAUAUAAUUUUAAACAAGAACAGGUAGUAAGGAUUUAUAAGACUAGCGGUUGAAUUGGGUAUGCAUUCAUUUAUGUGGGUUUGUCUAUUUUUUUUCUCAUUCAAUUAGUUAUGCAUUAAAGAAGUAAUUAUUUAAUGAAAAACAAGUUUCCUGGAUUUUAUUGAAGUAAUUGAUAUGUAUGUUGAAGGAGAUUGAACGUCUUUUCACCCUCACAUUCUCCACCCUGAAUUUUUUUAAGGUUUUUUGGUUAGCCAAAACUAUGAAUGAAUCAAUACAAUUUUAACCGUAGUAGGAAUAAAGAAUUUUUAAUAGUGAACAACUUGUAGAGGAUCUAUAUAUAAUGUAUGGGUUUAGAAUGAUUCCACCAAAACAGAGAACAAUUGUAGAAAUUCUACGUGUGUUAACGAUGCCUGUAACUCCCCAAGUUAAAGGGUAAGUUCUGUAAAAGUAUUAUUGGGCAAAUGAUUCUUUAUCAUAGGUUUUCGAGUUAAGAACUAGUGACUUAUGCAAUAGCUUAUAAGUAAAGAUAGUACUAAUUAGGUAAAAGUUAGGGGAAUGGUGACUUAGGUCGUUAAGGCACGUGUUAGACCCAAAGCUGCUUAUGUUUUGUUAAUCUUAGCCAAUACCUCUUUGUUUUACUUUAACAUUCAAUUACUUCAGAAUUGCAAAAAAAUGCAUGAUCGAAUAUUAUAUUGGGAUAUUUUUGGCAGAAUUUAUAAUCCUUGUGGAUUUGGAUAGUGAUUUCAUUCUUGCCAUUUUCAUUAAAGGAUCUUGUGAAUUGUCGUCUAUUAGUUUUUCUCAUCAUAACUCAUUUUCAUUUGAAUUGGAUGUAACUAAAUUAGGCCGUCUUUCUUGAACACAUAUUGUUAAAUUAUUUAUAUCAUUUACAUCUUUUCAUUGAUUAAUUAACAUGAUCAUUUUAUGAUUUUUUUUAUGGUAGAAAUGGAUCACCCAUUUGAGAAUGUGAUUAUCGUUGAAGAUAGAAUUAAAAAGAGACCUUCACAGAAGUGUUCCCUUCCAAAAACUUGACUACAUUCGGGAGAUGUUAGAUAACGUUCAUAGAUAAGUGGUACAUGCCAUUUUGGGCGACAUUCUCGAUUUCACUCUGAAAUUAACAUAAUUGUUUUCAUUGUAUUUUUUCAAUUUUAUGUGAUCGAAGGAUAUAGGACUUAGAUGCUAAUUUUGUCUAGAUAGAAGUGUUUUGUAUGAUUUAGUUGGAAAUAAGUGCAUGAAUGCUAAUUUUGUAACGGAUGCUAACUAGUGCAACUAUAAAAUUUUGCAAUGUUUUGCAUUGUAGGAAUGUUUUAUUCAAAUAUUGAAGUAGUCAGGGUUGAAACAUAGUUGUAGUUAUAUGAUAGCUUGAUAAUUUAUAAAUGGAAAAAUAGAUUGUAUUAUUAACUACGCAAAUUUAACCAAUCUAGAAAACGACAGUCAUACAUUUAAAAUGACAACAUGCUGUUUUGUGUCCUCAGUCUCACUAAAAAAUAAAAAUUGGAAUGACAACAUGUGGUUUUGGGUAACAGGAUCUCAACUUCACUUGAUCAUAUUGAACGAUUACACGUGUUAUAUUUUUGUAUACUCUACCCCCUAAAUGGGACCCUUACGUGUAAAAUAAUAGCAUGCCGUUUUGCGUCAAGAGAUCUCAAAUUCACUCCAAAACUAGUAAAAUAGUAUUUUGAACAUAUAAGACUUGUACAUUUUGAACAAUUACAUGUUUUUCUGUUUUCUAAACCUUAUACCCUAAAACCUAAACCCUAUACCUUAAAAACUAAACCCUGAACGGCAACCUUCCAUUUAAAAUGAUCGGAUGCCAUUUAGCAUCACGGGCUAUUGAUUUCACUUCAAAAUUAAUAAAAUAGUAUUUCGAACAUCAUAUAUGAAUUGUACAUAUUGAAUAAUUACACGUUUUUCUAUUUUGUAAAUUCUAUACCCUAAAACAUAAACCAUAUACCCUAAAACCUAAACCCUAAAUGGCAAUCCUUUGUUUAAAACGAUCAGAUGCUGUUUUGGGUCACGGGAUAUCAAUUUCACUCCGAAACUAGUGAAACAUGCUUUGAAAUAUCAUACAUGUCUCGUACACACUAAAUGACUACACAUACUAUGAUUUGGAUGCGAUACUUCCUACUUACGUUUUUCUUUUUUGUCAAGUAAAGUGUAGUUUUCUAGCAAAUUAUGAAGUGACUCACCAUAAUUUGAACAAAUAUGUUGACCACAAUGUCAAAAUGCAGUUAAAACUUUCAUCUCUAUACUUUUACAUGGUUUCGAGUGUGAAUGAACUAAAAUGAACACUAAAUGAGUAGAAAUGUUAGUCAUACGUUUAAACAACCAAAUACGGUUUGGGGUCAUGAGAUAUCGAUUUCAUUUCGAAACUAGUAAAAUAUGCUUUGAAACAUCAUACAUUGAAAGACUACACAUGCUAUGUUUUGGAUACCAUAAUUCUUAAUUAAGUUUUCUUUGUUGUCGAGUAUAGUGUAGUUUCCUACCAGAUUAUGGAGUGACUCACUAUAAUUUGAACAAAUGUGUCGACCACAAUAUCAAAAUGUAGUUAAAAUUUUCAUCCCUAGACUUUUACGUGGUUACGAUGCGUGAAUGAACCGAAACGAAUGCUAAAUGAGUGAAAAUGUCAGUCAAUACAUUUAAAAUGACCAAAUGCCGUUUCGGGUCACAGGAUACCAAUUUCACUAAAAAAACUAGUAAAACAUGCUCUGAAACAUCAUACAUGACUCUCACAUAUUGAACGACUACAUGUGCUAUGUUUUGGAUACCAUAAUUGCUACUUACGUUUUUCUUUUGUUGUCAACUGUAGUGUAGUUUCCUACCGGAUUAUGAAGUGACUCACUAUAACUUGAACAUAUGUGUCGACUGCAACGUCGAAAUGUAGCUAGAACUUUCAUCCCUAAACUUUCACGUGGUUACAAAUGUGAAUGAAUCGAAAUGAACAUUAAAUGAGUAGAAACGUCAUCCACGUGUUUAAAACGAUCAGAUGCCAUUUUGGGUCACGUGGUAGGAUUUCACUUCGAAACUAGUAAAACAUGUUUUGAAACAUCAUACAUGGCUCGUACACAUUGAACAAUUACACAUGCUAUGUUUUGGAUACAAUACUUGCUACUUACGUUUUUCUUUAUUGCCAAAUGUCGUGUAGUUUUCUUGUCGAUCGCAACGUCGAAAUGUAGUUAAAACUUUCAUAUCUAAACUUUCACGUGGUUACAAGCGUGAAUGAAUUGAAACGAACACUAAAUGAGUAGAAAUGUCAGCUUUAGAUUGAAAAUGAUUAGAUAUUGUUUUGAGUCACGGGAUAUCAAUUUCACUUCGAAACUAGUAAAAACAAUGUUUGGAACAUCAUAGAUAAGACAUACGAGUGAACGAUUGUACAUGCUAUGUUUUGUAUACCAUACUUGUUACAUUUUCCUUUAUAGUUAAAUAUAGUGUAGUUUCCAAUAGAAUGUACGAUGUCUCACUAUAGUUUAAACAAAUGUGUUGAUCACAACGUCGAAAUGUAGUAGAAUCUUUUAUCCCUAAACUUUCACAUGGUUAUAGCGUGAAUGAACCGAAAUAAACACUCAAUGAGUAGAAAUGUCAAGCAUACGUUUAAAAUGACCAAAUGCCAUUUUGGGCCACAGUGUAUCAAUUUCACUUCAAAACUAAUAUGUCGUUCUAGGUCUUGAGGUCUCAAUUUCGCUCCAAAACUGUUCGAUCAUAUUUCAUACCAUCUUAGACGACUUAUAUAAGUUAAACAUACUAAUUUGUUGAGUAUCUUAUCUCACAGUUGGAGUAUCAUUGAAUUCAAAUUAAUUACAUACGUUCAUAGUGACAUUUAGCAUAGUUUACUUACGAAAUAAUAUUGUUGGUUACUAUCUCGUUAACUUUUGUAGCGACUUUGGUAUCUAAAUGUAAUGAAAACUUGCAUUCGUUCAUUUUCAUAUGGAUACAAAUGAACAUAAAUUGAAAUGGACACAAAAAUAGUUAAAACGGCACUCAGGAAUUUAAAAUGAUAGCACACCAUUUUGGGUUAUUGAAGUCUCGAUUUCACUUCAAAACCAGUCAUUAAUAUCUCGAAAAAUUUUAUAAGACUUAUACAAAAAAUAAGCUAAAUUAUUCAGUAUCUUGUCUCAUAAUUUGAAUAUAAUCGAAUUUUUAGAUUACCUAACUUAGUUCGUAGUUAAGUCUAGUGUAGUUUACUCAUAAAACAAUAGUGUUCAUCGUUAUCGCAGGAACUUUGUAUUGAUAUUGGUGUCUAAAUGUAAUGAAAAAUGCAUUCGUUCAUUUUCAUGUAAAUAUGGAUGAAAAUAAAAUGAAACGUUGAAAUGAUACCUAAUCAUUUAAAAUGACAGCAAGGCAUUAUGAGAUCUUGAUUUCACUCUAAAUAUUGUUAAAAUGUGUCUAUGUUAAUUUUAAUGUGAAAACGAGAGAGCAAGUAAAACGAAAACAAAAAUUAGUUAAAACGUCAUCGAACGGUUUAUAAUAACAUCAUGCCGUUCGGGUCACGAACCCUUAACUUCACUUCAAAUAUGAUUAAUACUUUUUUAUAUAAUUUUCACGUGGAUAAGAGUGAAUAAAGUAAAAUGAACACGAAAUUAGUUAAAAUGACACUCAAUCAUUUAAAAAGGCGGCAUGCCGUUUUGUUGUUGAUUUUUAAUUGUGUAUGAAAAGUGAGAAUGAAAGUAGGAUCUAUGUUUGGAGAUUUUGGUAAAUUUUGACUUCAAAUUGGGCAUUUUAGACAUUUCACAAUAAGGGUAUUUGAGACUUUAACACAUGAUGAAAUAGAGUAAAUGCUAUUUUUUCGAAACAUUAUUAAGUGUAGGCUAUUUUACCCAGAAACUUUGUUGACUAGGCUCAUUAAGCAAAUCCCCCUUGUUACAUAUCUAUUCACUUUAAAAAUAAAAAAUAAAAAUGGUUGAUCAUGUGCACAAGCCUUAAGCAUAAAUUGAAUGAAGUAAGAAUUUGUUGACCACAUCAUCCGUGCAGAAAUCGAGGUCUAUAAUAUAUUCUUUGUAUCUACCAUCUCUAUCACCGUCUUCUCUAUAUUCACUUGCGUCUAUCAUCUUUGUCAACAUCUUCAUGAUACCUUUCAUCAUUGUGCUGACCUUUUUCGUCAAUAUCUUCACGAUAUCGAUUAUCUCUAUGUCUAUUACCCCUCUCGUCAUCUUCAACAUACUUAUGAACCUUGUUCUGAAUAUCUCUUGCAGUGCCUUCUUUUCUCCUUUGUAUCCUUUCCUAGAGUUCUUUUCCAACUCAGGAUUCUGCACCUCAUCUUGUAAAGCCCACUCUACCAAAAAAAGUAUAAAUAUAGAUUAAGUAAAAAUCAAGUAAUUAAAAAUAUGAUUGAUCGUGCCAGUAGAACUCAGCAAACGAUCUAAGACGGCACCAAAGAUUUUUUCAUAGGCCCGACUUGAACUUUUUAAAAGAAAAAUGAUGGGAUGUUGGAAUUGAAAAAUGAAGUUCAAUUUAAUAAGAUCAAUCUAUUCUAUUCUAGUUUAACUUUUAAAGUUUGAUAGAUUGAUAAAAGUGGUGUAGAUAUAUAGUAUUUAAAUAAAUAAAUUUAAUAAGGAUAAUGUAAAGACAUAAUGUAAAUGAAUAUAAUACUUUUUUAAAAAUUUAAAAUUUUUAAUAAAACUAGAUUUAAAGUAGGAUAGAAAUAUUAGAAUGAUUAACUAAAAUAGGACUCUCAUCAAUAUAAGACUCUGAUUCAUGAACCUAUAUCACCCAAGGGACAGAAGACUACUUGUAAAAAGCUCUGCGUAUAACUAGAUACUGGCGUCACAGGAGGGCAACGUAAUGAUGGCUGUGAAAUUACCAUGGGAUAUCAUCAUCGAAAUACUCUCCAGACUUCCUGUAAAAUCUCUAAUACAUUUUAAAUGUGUUUCAAAUCAUUCCACCCUUUGAUUUCUAAAGAUCCCAACUUCAAAAGGAAACAUAUGAAUCAGUCUGCGAAGUCUGUUCUUUAUCUUGAAUCUCCAGGAAAUCGGGUUUUGUCAAACUCCCUUUCAUCUUUUUACAAUGACGAAGAACCCAUUCAGGACUGGAAGAUUCUUGAUACUCCAAUUAAAGGGUCAGAGAUUCGGACCACUUACGAUUCUUGUGAUGGAUUGUUUGGCAUUUAAGAACGAGGAGGAUAUGUGUGUUGUUUUUGGAGUUUGAAGUUACUCCUUUAAAAAAACAAUCCGACAGAAUCACCUGAAUGUAAGAAAUGAUCAACAGGAUCCAAAAUGUAAUUCAAGCCCACCGACUUCACGAUAUUUUCUUAAAACGAAUUUGUUGCCUUCAAUGGUGCUAAAGACGUCCAGCAAUCGUUUCCUAGGAUAGAACAAAUUUUCGUCUCCUACGGAAGCAGCACUGCAAUCUGCAAGAGUUUCAAAGAACUCAACGAAGUGUGUUUUACUUCGAAACAAUAUCAGAACGAGAGAGAGGGGAAUAAGAUUCAAAGCACAUAUAGUUUGCAAUGAAAAUGGUGUGAAUUUUCUGGUAGAGAGGCAGUCUAUUUAUAGACUUCUUCAUAGCCAUUCCAACAGUCGUCACCUUUCAGACAAAUCUCAAAAACUCGGAACAGACAUGUUUUCUAAAAGUUGCGUCUGUUAAGUCGGUUAACAGUCGGCUAACAGUUGACUGUUUGGUCGGUUAACAAACGACUGUUAAACAAUCUAUUCAGAUAAAAAAAUCACCCAGAAUAAGCCAAAAAUUUAAAUUUCAUAAUGUACCUAAGAAUUUGAUUAUUUAUAAUUUGGUCCAAAAAGUUAAUAUAGUGCAAAGGUCCAUCUGCACCCGAACCGGACUCGGACACGGAAACGUGCUCGUGCUGAGCCGGCCGAUCGGAUGGACGGCGGCGCACACGUGUGAGUUUAUGACCGAACCCAAUAGGAUAUAGGUCUUCCCCUUCCAAAGACUAUUGGUACCCCUUGGGGUCCAAACCCAAUUCUAAACUUCCACCUUAUAAACCACACCAAAAAUUCCUAACUUUCCUAUGUGGGAUAAGUGUUUGGAAAAACAAAUUCUUCCAUAAUACUUAGUUUUAUAUGGGUUGCUUUAACACUUAAUAUUUCAUUCAAUUUUAAAUGGUUUUAAACAAAUAAAUAUAUCACGUUAAUCAUCUCGCGGAGUAGAACGUGAAUAUUCUAGGUCCAGAUAGAACGUGAAUAUACUAGGUCCUGUAUUAAUUAAAAGGUGGGUCCUACUGAAAUUUGAGCUCAAAGUUGACUCAUUUCAUAAUCAUUUUUCCAACAAUCCCCCACAUGAAUGAAAUAUAUUGGCAAUGUCCAAACGAUAACAUCUGAUAUGUUUUUCAAAGUAAAAAUUGAAGAAGACUGCAUCGGGAUAAGUAGUCAAUGACUUUGAACUUUUCCUAGUAAAAUCUAUCGAAUUUCCUUAGCCAAUUAGUAGCAAGUUGCUUUGAACAGUCAGCCGUUUAUGGAAACCUAAACAAUAGAAGUUACACAGUUUUCUUCGAACAUAGUUGGUUCUUACGUUUGUGUCCAUUUUGGCUUUGGACACCUCUUGGUUCAUGAGUGAUUUUUAGAGAAUUCAUCUUCACCUAAUUCUCUUAGAAGCGGCCCCUUCUCACUCACAUAGGUAAUUUUCAUAAAGAGUAUUCUGCUAUACUCCACUUGAACGAAUCAAGCUAUAGAAAUAAUUAAAAGCGUAUCUUAACUUAUUUCGCGGCAGCUAGGCACUGGCUCAUCAUAGGAAUGGAUAGGAGUAAAAUCUUCCCAGUGCAUACUAAGUUUUUCACAGUGCGAUUGUCUCAUUGAACCUCGAUCUUGAGAUCUCCAAUCAACUAGGUUGGGUUGUCACCAUGGAAACUUUGAUUAUUUUAUUAGUUUUAAUCUCAUCCCUUUCGAUAAACUUUCUACUUGCUCUCAUGUUAAACUUUUAGUUAGCGAAUCUGCAAUAUUCUCUUCUGAUUUCACAUACUCCAUAGAGAUAAUGCCAGUAGAGAGCAAUUGUCUAACAAUAUUGUGUCUACGACGUAUAAGUCGAGAUUUACUGUUAUACAUUACAUUUUGUGCCCUACCAAUUGUUGAUUGACUAUCGCAAUGAAUACAUAUAGCAGGCACAGAUUUUGUUCAACAUGGAAUAUCUUCUAGAAAGUUUCGUAGCCAUUCGACUUCUUCUCUAGCUUUGUCUGAUGCAUUGAAGUUAGAUUUCAUUGUUGAUCUAGCUAUACAUUUCUGUUUUGAAGAUUUUCAUGAUAUGGCAACACCUCCAAGUGUAAAGACAUAUCAACUUGUUGAUUUGAUGUCUUUAGUAUCUGAUAUCCAAUUUGCAUUACAGUAUCCUUCAAGUACUGCUGGAGAUCUCGAAUAGUGCAAUCCAAAAUUUUGGGUAUGUGGGUUUAUGACCGAACCCAAUAGGAUAUAUGUCUUUCCUCUUUCAAAAACUAUUGGUACCCCUUGGGGCCCAAACCCAAUUCCAAACUUCCACCUUAUAAAUCACACCAAAACUUCCUAAUUUUCCUAUGUGGGAUAAGUAUUUGGAAAAACAAAUUCUUUCAUAAUACUUCGUUUUAUAUGGAUUAAUUUAACACUUAAUAUUUCAUUCAAUUUUAAAUGGUUUUCGACAAAUAAAUAUAUCACGUUAAUCAUCUCGCGGAGUAGAACGUGAAUAUGCUAGGUCCCGUAUUAAUUAAAAGAUGGGUCCUACUGAAAUUUGGGCUCAAAGUUGACCCAUUUCAUAACCAUUUUUCCAACAAUGUGUUCAUAUGGAACCCUUCUACCAGAGAAUCGAAAACACUUCCAGAUUGUCCUAUUGAUAUCAAAAUUCUUCCUCGUAUCAUCUAACGUGGAUUCAAAUAUGCGUUAGCUUAUGACUCAAUCUCACAUGACUAUAAAGUAUUCAGUAUUUUCUUAUUUCUUGAUAUUGGAAAGGUCUUAAGGACUGAGAUAAAAUCCUAUUCGCUGAAGAGUGAUUCCUUGUGGAGAAAAGUUGAGAAUUUCCCAUGUGAAGAUCUCUGGAAUAGGGAAAAUUUUAACUUAUUGAACGGAGCAUUCCACUGGAUUACUCCACAAAGGCAAAGGUAACAUUGAACUCCCACCUCUUCUGCUUGUUUCACUUGAAAUAGGAACUGAAACAUAUAGAAAGUUAUCACUACCAUGGAUUGGGUAUUAUACUCAAAGUUUUCCGCAAUUAUGUGUAUUGAAGGGAAAGCUUUGCUUGUACAGCCUUUCUUCAGUAAAUCGUUUGAUUUAUGGGUGAUUGAAGAAUACGGUGUUAUGGAAUCUCUGACAAAAAUGUUUACUAUUCCUUUCUAUGAGGAUCGCGGGGGGGGGGGGAGGUACAAAACAAAAAAACAAAAAUUUGAUGGUCUUUCUGUCAGCGUUUAAUGUUUAAGAAUUCGCUUUCAAUUUAUUUAUUUAUAUUUUUUUCUGUCAGUUUAUUGACAUUCUGUAUAUAAGUACUUAAGUUUGGUUUAAGAUGGUUUGAUUAAAAGUUUGUGAGGCUCUGUAUGGCAAUGAUAAAUGUUUAAGAACACUGUUUUGUUUUGACUCUUGGAAAGAAUUCUAUAAACUUUACUGUGUAUAUACUACUUUUCCCAAGUGAUUAUAAUGCAGUAAACACGGGAGUCCUAUGAUGAAUUCAGGCUGUUUAAUGGAAGUAUUUUGCUGUCGUCGUUUACCAUGACAUCCGGUAUAUGUCCGGUAAGUGGAAAGGCGGUCGAGCUGACCUGCCUUUUCUGUCGGGUCAGAUCAAGCCAAGUGCAAAGCUUGGCAUGGUCUACCCUAAAUAGUCUUUGAUAAAAUGGAUUGAAAUCUUGGAAGUCACUUCCAACGAAAACAGCUGAUAUAAAUUUCAACUCAGUAACAUGGAGUUUGCUUGGGAUUGCAUGUUGUAAGGAACAUAAAUCCAGCAGCAUUCACAAAUGCUUAAAGUAUAAAACUACCUGGGAAAUCUUAUUAAAUGUUUAAACAUUAUAAAGAACGGAACCUAAAGACUGAUGUCAACAUUAUCAAUCUCAACAACCCUUUUUCAUUGCUCAUUUUUCAGCUAUAAGUAUUCAACAUUUCAACUUCCCUUCUUUGUUAAUUAAUUUCAAUCUCAUUCUCAUCCACAAGAUAAUUUUUAUAGUAGGCAAACUAAGAAGCAAAUUCUGUCAGUUUUUUCGUCAUUGAUAUCUCAUAAUACACGAAUAGUUUCAUUAGUCGUGGCUCGACAAGGCAAUGGUUGAACUUUUUGUUCACAAAACAAGCAAUUGACGGGGUGAGAUGUGUGACAGGAGUCAUCACCUUAUUGAGUAUGUGCAUGCAUCUCUAUCGCAUCCUGCUGAGCACUUCUUGACAACAGAAAUCAGAAAGUAUGUCAGGAUCAAACCUAAUAGACUCAAAAAACAGAAUUUCAUGGGAGCUAAUCAUACUUUCGCUAGCAUUAGAUGUGCAUGGUUUUCGAUGAAAAAAUAGCUUGAAGAGUAGGUGAAAUACGAGAACUUCACUUGAUUAGCAAGAAACACAAUGAGAAAGGGACUAUUCAAGUCAGCAGAUUGCUUCAAUCUUGAAGAUCAUGAAUGGCUUAGAUGGAUUGGGUUGGAUUGCAUCAUAGAUACUGGUACAUUUGCUGCAAGAAUGAGUGAAUCCAAUGUCAAUAAAGUUUCUGCUUUCAUAAAUCUUGGAGGACCCAUUUACCAAAUUUAACACCAUAGGCCGAUAGUAGCCAUUUUCCUCAAUGAAGCAGCAGUAAUUCUCUUCUUAAUCUUCACUCAAAGUCAAAUUUAAAGACCCCGUUGUAAGAAUGAACAAAGUUACAGUCACGAAAUUACUCGAUCUCAUCAAGGCAACCAUUCCAACAUGUCCCUUACAAGAUGCUUCUGUCAUAAUUCCUAACAAUUACCAGAACACAACAGCUCUUUUUCAUAAUGGAACAGUAAUAAGAAGCCCCCGGUGCCCGCCCAGUAAGGAGAUUGCGUGAUGCACAAUGCGCAUGCUCAUAAUAGAUGAUAACGUUACUGAUACGAUACUGUGAUACGUUAGUUUGGCUGCUGAUAUAAAUUCUGUUUUGAUUCCUAUCGAGAGUAAGAGUUUGGAGAGAGUUAAGAUAAUGAAGAUUAUUAAACAUCUAUUUGAGCCUCAUUUUUUUUUUUUUUUUAAAUUCGUUUGUUAAUUACACAUUUUUUUACUAAAAUAAUAUUACAUGCAAAUCCAAAAGUCAAGCUUUAGAAGGUUGAAUUUAAAUCACAAAUAUUUUGUGGAUACAUCUCCCAAUGACCCAUCGGCGUGCAUGUAGUCGACUCUAGUUUCUUUUACAAGUUAGUAGAUAAAGUAAUUUGUCGAAGAUAGUGAUAAGAGAUGAUUCAUACAGUCGAUCUUAAAUUUAUGCAUUUGAUGGUGUUGUGAGAGGAUUCAUAAUUAUAUAGCUUCCUUCAAUUGUCAUAAUUGUACAUACAAGUUCUUUUAUCAUUUUUCAGCACUUGUUUCUUCCUGGAAAGUUGUUAUUUUUGUGUGUGAACUUGAAAGUUACUUUUUGUAAGAUUAAGGGUUCAUUUGAUAGAAUUUCUGCUUCUAGUUUUACUUCUUAUAGAAGAGCUUCCUCAAUAAGUUACCUUUCUUCAUUUUUUUCAAAAAACUCUUAUAAUCUGAGAAAAAGCUUUUAGAAAAUUAUCCAAUCAAGUUAAAAAACAACUUCUUUGUCUCAUAAUCAGCUUUUGGAUUUUUAACAAUUUUAUCGAACGGGGUCCUAAAAUAAGUUUUUUGAAUAGAAAACUUAACUUUUAAAAUCAUGUUUAACCCAAAAAGGUAUUUUGAAAGUUUAAGCACAAUUGAAAAUUACUAUGAAUUUUGUUCUCUAAUUAACAACAAUAAUAUUUCACAUUUAUUUUUCGUGAAAUUAAACUUUAAACUCUCGAAGUCAAGAGGGUUCUGGGUUAAUUGAAAUAUAUCCAUAUAUACAAUUUUGGUGCGCAUAAAAACACUAGAUAGCAUUAGUACAAAGUUGAAGUUUUAUCUCUCAUAGCGUCUAUGCUGAGUACCGAAACAAAUCACUAUAGGCAUUCUUUAUAAAUUAGACCAGAUGAGAUGAGAUGAAAUAUGUCUUUAUAAAUUAGACCAUAUGAGAUGAGAUGAGAUGAGAUAGCAUUAGACUUUUGUUUGGUUCCCAUUAUUUUUAAAAUAUAUUUUUCUCUGACUUAUUUUCAACUACAUAAUAUUCAAUGAAAUAAUAUUACAUAUUCAAAACUUUUUCUUAUUUUUAAAUUACACACUUUCUUUUACCAAAUCACUAUUCCAAGAUGCAAAAAAAUGGGGCAAAAAAAAAAAAAUUGUAUAUUAUCUAAUUCCCUUAUGAGAAAAUUACCCAAAAUCGUAAAUUUAAAUAUACAAUUCAAAAAUAAGUGGGAUUAAUUUUAAAUUGAUAAAUCAAAUGCUGAUUAAGAAUUAUUAAUUUAAUUAAGAAAAAUUUAUUAUACCCCACCCACCCCACUACCUUAACAACUCAGUUCAUUUCUCGCCUCUUCUUUCUCUCUACUAUGAGAUAGUGAUGAUGUUGUACUGGCACAAUUCGCAUUUGCGAGAUCCAUUACUCCCUCAAAAGUGGUAAUAGGUUCACUCUCUUCCAGUGGUAGAUGCAACCUUGAAUUUGGACACGGGGUACAAUAAAAAUAUAUGUGGAUUUAUCUUUUAAAAAAAUAAAAAAAACUAAGAAUAAAGUGGAAUUGUAGGGGCGAAGAUGGGCUAUAGUCCGGUCGAGCCCGUGCUUGCGUAUCUCUUUCUUUAUGUAUAUGCUUGUUUAUGCUCCAUUUGAGCCCCUUUUUUUGAAAAGGUCGAUUUUGAAAUUGAAAAGUUUAUUGGAGAAUAUAUGGUCAAAAGGUAAAUAAUAAUUAUAAUAAAUUGAAUAUAUGUUUGCAAUUAUAUUAUUGAAAAAUAUGUGAUUGAAAAUAAAUUUGAAAAAAAAAAUAUUUUCAAAGAAUGGACUCAAAAAGGGCCUUAAUAUUCUUGAUUAAAGAAGGAAAAAGAGUUUAAAUUUUUAGUAUACAUGAGCUUCUGAAUGCGACAAGGUUAAGGAAGAAAACAAAGUUAAAAUUUUGUUCUUUUAUCUCGAAGAUCUUCGUGAAUUAUGUAUAAUGGAUAAAGAUACUUGUCCAUAUGUUAAUUUUUUGUUUUUUGAAAGUUUUCUGUCUCAUUUACGUGGCAGGCAGAAACUAAAUAGCUAGAACUGCAUGCUGUCUAGGAUGAGAAAACUAUAUAUAAAUUUGAUGAAAAAAGUAACUUUCUUAAAAGUUAGGGAUAGUGGACAACAAUUCUAUGUCUCAAUUGUUUGAAUUUUGGUUAUAACAAUUUGUGAGUUCCAAAUAUUUAAGAUGCAAUUGUUAUUAUUUUUAUUAUUAUUUUGCACCAAACAUGCUAGUACAAGUUAUUUUCCUAAAAAGCAAGUCAAGAUUAAUUUAUAAAAUGUACGUCUGAUACGGAAAGUUUUUAUCUUGCUCAUCGUGGGCAGGAGCAUAUCUGAUAUUUGUAAAUAGUAACGUUGGAAAUUAUACUGGACUACAUUGAGAAGUUCUGUUUUACUUUAAGCACAAUCUAAUUUACCCCAUAUUUAUAAAUUAUUUGUAAUCACUCAAAUCAAUUUUUUAUUUUUCUUUACACGAUACCUUUUGACACUUGUAAAAAGGCGUAGUGGUUAAAGUAUAGACUGCUUACAGGGUCAGCCUUUGGGCCAAGCCACCUAGGCCACCACCUAGGACCUCCAAAUUUUGGCUUGGGCUCGGGGCCUCAAAUUUCAUAUUAAGUCCAAUUUCCAAAAUAUGAAAAAUGGUUUGGGACCUUUGGGAUUUGGGCUUGGAGUCUUGGACCAAUGGAAUUAAAUUUCUUUGGAGACUUGGAGUCCAUAACAUACGCAAUGAACCGCCCCAGCUGGUUUAUCUUUUCAAUUUGACAUUUUCAUUUUUCAACUUCCUCUAAUCCUCUGCUUCGGUGAAUCCAGAUUCUAGAAUUCUCCAGGGCCUCCACUCCAAGCUUCCUGGUUCCAGACUCCCGGGCUUCCAGGGACUAGCGCCAAUGGACGAAAAUUUGAAAUCUAACGCGAAAAACCUCAAUUUCUCGCCUCUCGCAGUCCCGCAUAUCGCACGCCGGAUUCAUUUUAUAUAUCUUUCAGGUCCUUUGUUUUGGUAAGUAAACUGGAUGUCCAGCUCCUUUAUCUGAAUUUCUGAUUAUGAUUUUGUUCAAUAUCUACUGUUAUCACUUAAUUGCUAAGUUUCCUGCCCUGUAGUUCAUGGUGUGUUCACCUUUCUUACGAAUCUUACCGUCUCUUUUUCUGAGUAUUAAUUCAUUAAUGUAAUUAUUCUUUCAUUUCAUUGAAGAUAAUUUUAUGUUUUUGGAAGAUUUUAAGAUAAUGCUAAGGAAAAGGAGCAGAUCGAACCAAAAGAAUCAACUGAUGGAUCAAUUGUUGUUUGAUUCUGUUUUCCUUACUCUCAUAAUCGAUGUUGUUUUCUGUUUAUUUUAGGCCAUUGGAAUGUGUUUGAAAAUCUAAAGCAUGGAGGUAAUAGAACGUGCUAUUUGCUGAAAUUUGGAGAAUUAACAAUGAUAGGGAUUAUGUUAGGAUUAAGCCUGUAAUCUUUCUACAUAUAUGUGCAAAAUGGGAAAUAAAGUGCUUCAAUGAGGCACCAAGUGUUUCACAGCCUCAUUUUCAUUCUGAUGUUUUUGGUUAGGAGACAGGAAUUAAACUAAAAUUAUUUCUGUCUUUAAUGUUCCUAGUCUGUUUGUGGGGUUCAAUCCCAAGAAUUCAGAAUCUGAUUCAAUUAGAAGCCCUACUUCUCCUCUAGAUUUUAAGUUGUUUUCAAAUUUUGGCAAUCCAUUUAGGGUCUCAAAAUUAUCAAAUGAGGGGCAUCAGAAGAGACGGGAUUAUAGUAAAGUAGGCUUAAGCAUUAUCCAUU